rnacentral:lncRNA from 1 species
ACGCAGAGAGGUGCGGUACUGGUUCUAAGGGCUCAGUGAUCGGGACGAACUGUCCAUGCGGGUCGCUAGUUAUAUACUAAUUAUAUUUCCUUAAUGUUUUAAAUAUUUCUCUCUCGUGCACCUCUACGUCUGCAAUCUGCAAAGAGGAUCCGAUGCCGGAUACAGUAGCUUAUUGUAUUUAUGGUUUAAAGUCACGGUUUACGCCAGGUAAUUGUUACAGUUGUGUGGCGAGAUACAUAUUUAUUGCUAUAUAAAUUAUUCAUAAAAAUUACAUAUAUUGUACUUUACACAAUUAUUUUUUAUUUAUUUUUAAAAAUACAUAUUUUUAACUAAUUUAUAAUGCAUUAUUAUGUCUACGAAUUUAAUAUUUUUAUGGGUCUUUGAAAUAUUACCUAAAAGAAUUGUUAGAAAAUGCUAACUAUAGAUGUUAAAUUGAUAUUCACUAAUUUUUAUAAACUAUAAUAAUUAUUGGGUAGGUAUAUUUUGUAUGUGCCAUAUAUUAUGUAGAUGUAAUCAAAUUGUAGGAUAAGUUCACAAGUCAAUUUUAAAACGUUUAAAGAUCAUGAUACAAUAUAAAAAGUUGUAGUUUUCAAAGCCAAUUCUUUAUUGGUAUUUCUUGCUUGGAAUUGAUCAACAUUUUCUUUAAAGUACAAGUACGAGAAUUCAAAUCACAAACUCUCACUUAUACUCCUUCCAUCUAAAUCACCUGAUCCAUCCCUCUUCCCUCAUUUCAAAGUCAAUUCUUUAUUGGUAAUUUGUUGAAGAAUAGUAAGAGUAAUUUGUUGAAGGAUAGUGAGAGUAAUUUUAUUUAAGCAUAAAAAUAAAACUAUAAUUUUAUAUAAAAAAAUAAAAAUUUAGUGAGGUCAGUAGGGACAAUUCCCUCGCUGCCCCCACACUUUGUAUCCGUCUCUACUUUGCAGCAACGUUUUUUUUUUUUUUUUUUUUUUUUGAAGCGCGUGUCAGUAAUUAUGUGCGUAAUUUUUUUCGUCACGUAGCAGAAGUAGGGUUGACACCUAAAGAGGGAGUUUGGACGGAGGGCGCAAAGAGGUCUCCACGUUGACGGACCAACUAGUCCAACUGGUACAUUAAGUAUGAAGGAAAUAAAUCAUCCAUGUUCGUGUUGUUUGUCCUUUUCUGCGUUUAUUUACUUGAUUAAAUUUCUAUUUGUCGUCGGCAGCGUAAACGAAGCUUUAAUUAUCCAUGUACUUAGCAUCCUAAUUAAUUGCAACAAAAUUCGACCUAGUUUUUUUUUUUUUUUUUUAAAUGCAACCUAGUUAAAUCUAUGGAGCUCUUGCAUCAGAUUCUUUGACUAAGUGUCAUGUUUUAUGUCCUCAUUUCACUUGAUCUGAAACUCAUGAUGAUUCGAUUGGUCAUUCCUCGAACCUUUCGGAUCGAAAGAAUACCUUUUCAAAAGUGCCUUCUUUUUUUUUCGUUUGUUUUAAAUAUAUAUAGUGUAAGUAAGUGAGACGGCUCGGACUCCCUCCCCUCAAACCAUCUCAUCCAUAUCCCUCCCAUCAUUUCUAGAACCAUGUGGCCAAUACGAAUUUUGCCUCCUGCAACAAAAGAAACAAUUAGUUUUGGAUUAACUGCAGUAUCAUUUUGCAUUGGAAGUUAUCAAUCACCAUUUUAUUUUAUAUACAUUAUAUCACAAAAAAAGUGUUACAAUAAUUAUUCCAAAUAAUAUUUCAUAUAAUACCCUAUCCAAACAAUUUUAAUAUUCCAAAUUUCAAUUAUUUCUACCGUAAACUGUAGCGCAUUGUACAAUGAUACUCAGAAAUUUAAAAAGUGGAAAAUUGAUGCCUGCAUCAAAACGGUAAAAUCAAGAAAAGAAAAUGUGAAGUGGAAAAUGUGAUUGAUAAUUGUAUAAAAAAAAUAUUCAUGGAAAUGCGAAUUUUGUUAAAUUAGCAAUCUAAACUUAGACAUGCACUCGAAGAAAUUGCUCGAUAUGCUAAUAACAACUGACGUUUUAUAUAUUUUGCUGGUUGAUGUCAUCCAAGCAAAUUGAAAUGAUAACUACUUCCAAAUUUUGUUUGCAAUAUGUUCUACACCAAAAAAAUCUAAUAAGAAAGCAGGUUCUUCACAUCUUGCUUUUCAUUUUUAUUAAUUCUUGAUAUUUGAAAUAUUCUUAGAUUAUAAUUUCCAUCAACAUAACGGUUUCAAGUCAUAUCCAUGUGGUCCUCCGUUUAGUCACACUAUCUACAUGAACAAUAUAACUAUUAAUUUAAGAUUGAACCUUUUGUGGUCCUAAAAAUUCAAUUUUUUAUGUAAAAAAGGAAAAAAAAAAACAAUAAAAAGAUAAUAGUGAAGCUAUUCGUGUUCUGUGUAACAAGUCCGAUCCUCAGUUACCCACAUCUAUUGCUGCGCUCUUUAGAAAAAAGAAGAAGCGUACGUGUUAAUUUCAUAUAUAGUGACGCUGCAUUGUAAAAUUUCUCUACAUGUUUAGAAUUCAUGUACGCAUGUCACUGAAUCGAGUUUCAACUGAAUUUAACUAAGAUAAUUUUUAUGGGUUUGAAUCCGAAUUUGGAUCUCACUAAAUUUAAUGAAUUUGAGUAUGAAACAAGAGAAUUCAAUACAAAUUCUAUCUAUUGACAUGCCUAGAUAAUAUAUUUCAUCUCCAAGAGAAAUAAAAGGUAAUUAAUGAUUUCCCUAUUUGAAUAAAAAGCCAAUUUUUGAUGCAGGGCUGGCUAUCCUACCCUUGUGGGCCCUUUAAAAAUAGCAAAAUUAGCAAAAGAAAAAACAAAUUACUUUGUCUCAUUGCACAAAUGCACCGUCAUUCAGUGCAUUCAUCCCUACCAAAAUCCGGUGGUCUAUUUCCCACGUGUACGCGGGUCAAUUCUGUCCACGUGUCAGAAGAUGUCGGAGAUUUGCUAGGACCUCCACGAUACAUUGGUCUUUUAUUGUCCACACUCCACACCAAGGUCAAAGCGGUAACCCUCUCUACACUUUUUUUUUAUCAGUAACGAUACAUGUGUAUAACCUACUCUAUCAUAAUCUAGGGGGGAGGGGAGCCUAAGGAGGCUGUUGUAGGGGCUAGUGGGUAUACAGACCCAACCACAUUAAGGGAGUGCUAUGGCACAACCCUUAGAUUUUUUUCACUGCUGGUGAGGGUUCUGGUGGCCACUGAGCCAUUGGCCAGUGGUUGGUAACCCUCUCUACACAUUGGAUUCUUUUUCCUAAAUUUGUACUCUUGUGCCAGUCACAGUGGUGCUUUCUUUUCACUUUUCCCUGCGCCAUUUUCUAUUUUGGCCAAUUGCAAUGUUUUUUUUUUUGGGUGGCGGAGGCCAACAAUCGCACGCGCACCAGGUAUGUCAAAACAAAACUUUGCUGCUUCUCUGCUGCUGCACGAUGUUCAUAUCAUAUACGAUUCCCAUUUGAGGCUGAAGACUCCGAGAAUUCUUGGAAGUAUUUUACUGCUCGGUUGUUUUCUAUAGCUAAAAUGAUGGAGUGCAUUUUCUUCUAUAUUAUAUUCUCUAGCACGAUAAUGAUGGAAAUACCUAACGAGAGAUAAUCUCUCCCCCGUAAGCUGGGCUUUGGUCUCUCCCAUGGCAGAUGUCUCUUUUGCUAGUUUUAUUUCCUUUUGUCUGAAUAAAUUCUUUCCUAAGGUUUUCCAGUCUAAGUUUCUUAUCCUCUAGAUCUUCUCUAGUAUUAGUUUUAUUUUUUUUUUCCUAGAAUCUCCUUGUGAGAGUAAUUUUUUUUUUUCAAUUGGUUACAUUAAAAAUCAAAUCAUUUGAUGGAAAACAUUCUUGGGAUUUCAAUUUUAUGAUCAAAUUUAUGAAUUUUUUUAGAUCCGUCGUAGCAUUUGAUUUGAGAUCCGUGUGAAUUUGUGUUAUACUUGAUAUAUUUGCUGCUAUUAGUGAAGAUACUAGAAUAAAAACGUACUUUCUUUUUUUUUUUUUUUAAAAAAAAUACAAGGUAACACCUGGUGGCAGGGGGUGCAGUAGAGUUAAACUCCAAGUCAAAAUAAUCAACCUGGCUCAGAUGCAAGAAGUUUCCAAAUCUGGGCAGUAUUUUUUCUUAAAGAUUUUUUUUUUUAAAAAAAAAAAGAGAAGAGCAUUUUUUUUCAAUCUGUGCUUUAUCUAACAUUCAGAAAGGACGAGACACAACAACAAAAUAAAAACGUUUGCACAAAUUCAGAUGCAAGAUUAUUUUAUAUUUUUUAUGCGAAACCACGUCUCUCUCCUAGGAGACAUGCAAAUCCUCCGUAGAAUAGCAAAACGACAACGCACUUUGUCCUCACAUACUCUCUCGGACAUAUGCACACGUUCAAUUUAAUGUAGCCGAUCGAUUCGACCAUAAACGGGGUCUUUUCAUGUAGUCAUCAUGAGGUCGUCAAUGGCUUUUAAAAUUCUUUUUCAUUAUGAAAUUUAUGAUUCGAAUCUUGGAUAUAAUAUAAUAGUUGGAAAAGAAAAGAGCGUAAAGAGAUUUUCAUUGACAUGAAAAGAACGCAAAAGAAAGAAAAAAAAAAAAGAGGAGAAAUUUCUACCAUGCGAGCAUACAUUUGCAUCCCCUUAAAGGAGGCCCCUCCUGGACAGCUCGUUUGGUCACGACAGUCCCUUGAAAUUCGUUGUCCAACUCUCCCAUCAGGGAUGGAAUCCCAGUGGUUACCGUGUUCGGGUUGAAGGGGCCUCUUCUCCCGGGCCGGAAUAGGAUUAAUCGGGCCCCGUAAGAAUUGAUCCGAACACCCACUCUGUUGAUAAAAAUAAAUAAAUAAAUGAAGGAGGCAAAAAAUUAAAGGAGGAAAAAGCAGCUGACUACCUCCAUCACUCACCCAAAUUGUGUUUGGAGCACAAAAAUUUGGUAGGAUGAGAGAAAUUGACAUCUACUCGUGUUAUAAGGCCACAAUUACGAUUUUUUUGGACGUCUUCAUAAAGUAUGGGACGGUUGGCUUGUAUAGGAAUGCCUAACCAUACCUCAUGAUCUAAUGAAAGAAAUGGUACCUUUGGCGGCUAGUGCCACCUGACCAAACGAGCAUUUUUGGCUGAUGAAUUUAGUUUAGAGCAAGCAAUUGCUUAGACCAUGCUCCACUAAUUAGUAGUAAUUACCCUAAUAUAUAUUUUUUGUCAUGGCCAUUGACCGAUAUGUUCACAUGCCAUUUUGUCUCUAGUUCGAAGCCACCUUCAAUUAUUCUCGGGGUUAAAGCCGUAAGAUGCUGCUAUUUCAAUAAAUUAAAGCAGCGUCAGUUAAGGAAGAACAUCUUGAGUGGGCAGUAGUUUAAAGAUCUCUAGUAGUACUAUUUUGUCAACGAAGAAGGGUUUCAGACGAUACUUCACGUCAACUGGUAAUUAUUGGCACAAAAUCUGAAUUUGGAGCUCUGGUGCUGGUGGCGGUGCUAAUUAAAACUUGGCUCAAUGAUUUUUGAAGACAACGAAAUGAAGUACUACAACCCCCCGCCUGCCCUGCCUUCAGGUGUUGUAGGUAACAAAAGAAAUCAAAUGGAUUGCAAUGGCUCAACCACAUUCGAUCACACAAGGCACCGGACAUCAGAGUAGUUUCAAAUGUACUCCUUUUGUUUAGUUAAAAAUGAUAAGAAUCAUAUCAGUUCUAAGAUUAGCACUCAUGCUUUACACAUCACACUAGACGAAGAAAUAUCAUAUUUCCUCAGUAUCAAGUACACUGACUGUAAAAUUAACUCGAUUCUUUGCUCACAAUUGUAUUGCUUUUGAAAUUAAUAUUAUCCAAUAUCGUUUCGAAAAAAAAAAAGAAAAGAUUGCAGUGACUCAAAUAAACAUAUUUUUAACCCCUCGAAAGAGAGCAACAGAUUUUUGUGGAGAUAGAGAAGUCCAUUUCGAUCGGAGGUAGAAUUUCCCGGUCGGACCCAAAGCUCAAUCUACAGAGCAGCAGUCGCUUAGAAACUCUUUUUUUUUUUUUUGAGUGAUCCUCUGCUGGCCUUUUUACAAAAGUCCUUCGGGCGCUGUAUUUGAGACCGUCUCCAUCUCUAAAGCCCAAAUCUUAUUGGACAAAGCCCCUUUCUUUAUAGUUUGAUUGAACUGGGCGGACCUGAAACCGUGCAAUUUAUCAUCGCAUAAGCACGUCUGCCUGGCCAACAACUCAUUCUCAUUUUAUCCCCUAAUCCUGCUACACUAUUCACUACAUUUAAAGUUGAUCAAAGCCUUUCACCACUCUCUUUUGAGUUAAGGCACCGAUCUCAACCUUGCUUUCCUCCCAAAUUCCCAGAGUUCUGAAAAAUAACCCAAGGCUACGGUUAACAGGAUAUUGAGUCUCGCAUUAAGUCACUGUAAAAGUCUGGACAGCCACUUGAAAAAGCCCAAGCAUUAUGGGCCUGCAUCAUUUCCCGGCAGUGACAUAGAUGGAGCUUCAUCAGUGGGCUUACUAAACCACCUUUCUGACCAAUUGCUAGAUUUUUUUUUUUUUUUUUGGGGAGUAGGGUGAACGAAAGGUUUGAAUUUAAAACCUCCUACCUACCAUCCUUCCUACCUUACUAUCCAACCCAGCCAUCUUCUUUUGCUAGAAGUCAUUGGAACAUUCAUACACUUAAAUCUUGUAGGGAAAAAGUAAGGUUUUUUUUUUGGGUUAUUAUCACUUUACUCCCUUAAACUAUAUCACUAUUACCAAUUUACCCCCUAAUAUAAUCACUUUACUCUCUAAUAUUGUGUUUGGAUAGAGUAUUAUUUGAAUGUUAUUUGAAAUAAUUACUGUAGUAUUUUUUUAUGAUGUGAUACAUGUGAGAUAAAAAGGUGAUUGAUAAUAUAAAAAAGUGAGUUGGGAAUGUGGUUGUGAUGCAAGUCAAAUAUUAUUUGGCAAAAUUGAUCUAUCCAAACAUAAAAAAGUAUUUUACCCUAUUGUUAAUCUAAAAAGUAUGUUAAAAAAUGUUUAAAUGUAUUAACCUUUUUUUAUAUAUAAUUAAAAAUAAAUAAGACGGAAUAAUUAUUUUUCCUUUUUUUUCACUCUAAGAUUUCAAAAACAUAAAAAUAAAAUGGGUUUUUCAAAUUUUUUCACACUUAUUAAUACCUGCAAAGAAAGAAAAUUAGGAAGAAUAUACUAUUAUCGUAUUACUUUAAUGUCCUCGGGAUUAGGAUUGGAAUUGGGUAAUAAACAGAAAAAUAAAAUAAUUUUAAAAUAAUAAAAAUAUUGAAUUCUUUCUUGUUUGUAUUAAAACAAAGAAUUGAACUCUCUCUCUUCCUCCCCUAUUUUUCUAUUUUUUCAAUAUCAAUAAGAUUGUCAAGAAGAAAGAGAUUAAUGUUUUGACUUUUUUUCUUGAUACUAAAAAGGAGAAGAUCCACUCUAAAUUUUUUAUUAUUUUUAUUAUACAAAAGAGAGGGUACUAUAUUCUCAAGAUUUUCAACUAGUCCAGUUGAUUUAUUGAUGGGAUAAAUUGUCUAAAAAAUAACUAUAGGGGGUAAAUUGAUAAUAAGGUUAUAGUUUAUGAGGGUAAAGUGAUAAUAAUUUUAAAAGUUAAACAUGUUUUAUCACUUGAAUUAAUAAACUCCGUUAAGUUUGAUCGUUAAUUUUGAGGGUAAAAUGACUACAAAUAAUUUUAUGGGGGAAAUUGAUAGUAAUGUCAAAUGUUAAGAGAGUAAAGUGAUAAUAACCCUUUUUUUUGGGCGAGGGAUUAGCACUUUAGCAAUGUAAGUUGGGCCUUUUGUUUGGCGGCAAGAGUCGGUGAAUGCUGAGGUUGACUCUUAAUUUUCCGAUAAUUGUAAUUCUUUGUAAGGGCUUCACAAGAUGCAUAACGGCCAUUCAUAUGGCGAUAAUAACUUCUACUUAGCCGGUGCUGUACCGAAUAUCUUUCCUCUAUAGCCGUUACGAUGCACAAACAACAUAGUACCAAGUACACAACAGCGGCCUUUGUUUUUGAACCAAAGUGCACGGUCCCUUUCUUCUACAUAGGGGUGGAGCUGAGUCAAGCUACUCGACUCGAGCUCGAUAUGUACUCGAUCAGAAGCUCGAGCUCGAACUCGCUUCAUCGAGCUCGAGCUCGAUCUCGAGCUGCUCGUUAGAGCUAUCGAGUCGAGCUCGAGCUCAGAAAUUUGAUACUCGAGAGCUCGACGAGCUUUAUCGAGUAUCACAUAAAAAAAAAUAAAAAAAUAAAUAUAAAAUUACUAAUAUAGGUAAAUAAAUUCUGAGAAAUUACGGGUAAGUACCCUUAUCGAGUCGAGCUCGAGCUUUUUAAGGACUCGAUCGAGCUCGAGCUCGAGCUGUGAUUCUCCGACUCGAUCGAGCUCGAGCUCGAGCUCGAGUAUAAUUAUAUUAUAGCCGAGUCGAGCUCGAGUAUAGCGGUACUCGAGCUCGACUCGGCUCGAAUACACCCCUACUUCUACAUCUCCUCAUGCUCCCAGAAAAUAAAUGUUGGUCAUUCUACGCGGACUUGAAAGCAUUGGUCAGCUUUAAAGCGGUCCAUUUGGGUCGAAUUUUAGAAUUUAGAACAAGCGGACCAAAAAAUUCUAGUCUAUUUUGGAACAAGAACAGUAACCUAUAUGUGUCUUGAGAAAAUUUUUGACCUGAUCAAGUCUGUUUAUCACCUUUUUGUAAAUGCUUUUUGUAAAUGCAAGGAAGGAAGGAAGGAAGGGAUGUUUGCAUUUUUUGAAACGCACACAGCACCAACCGGAGGGGCCACUCCGUGUUUCCCACUAUUGUUUUAUUUCGGUUCCUUCUCUGAGGGAAUGAGGGGUGGACCAAAGGCUAAGGCACUCGCCGCACAAUUAUUAGCAUUGGGGAAUGUUUCAGCUUUGUCUUACUUAUCCACUCUAACUAAGAUUUACAUGCGGGUUCCUCAGUACCCUUGCCUCCUUUUCUUAGUUUAGACAGAAGUUUAUUCAAAAAAAUAAAGAAGAAAAUUCUUUUAAGGGGUAGUAGUUGGAGUGGUUAUAACAGUUGACCAAUCAAUCCGCAAAUUAAUCAUAUUCUACUCCUCCUUUCUUUAUAAAUAUCAAAAAACUAACGAUAGCGCUGCAUAUGUAGUAAUAGUACAACCAAAUAUGUUUGUUGGACAAGGGGCACGGACGGUUGCACGCCCCAACGGUUUUGGCCAUGUUUAACAACGCCUAAUUUUGAUUGCAUACGGCGUAAUUUUGUUUAUACAACGUGUAACUUUAGUAUAAAAUUUUGUGGAUUCCACAUACGGUGUAAAAAUCGAUACACAACUUGUGAUCUGGAUCGCACAAUUUGUUGAUGCCAAAUCAUGGCCAUUAACAGCCGCUCCUGCCCCGUUUCCAUGUUGAGCUCAGCCUUGGAAGAGUAAUUGAUUGAUCGUUGCACCUGCCAAGCUCUGACACGGACACCUGUUGGUAAAUCUUUCGUCAUGAGAUGAAAUAAAACAACCAACACAUUGAAUGCGUGCUUAGAAUCCUCAAUCGGGAUAGAGAUUGAAAAAACUGACGGAUCCCAUAAUUAUUGUGACUACGUAUAUUUAUCUUAUGCUGCUACUGAUGCCAUAAAUUAGCUAAUCUCCAUCCUUUUUCUUGUCCUCUUUUCGUUGUAAAGCUCAUCAUUAAUUAGCAUUAUUGUACGUACGUACAUGGAGACAUCUAAGCUAGUAAACCAGCAAUAAUUCAGGUUCAGUGCAGGUGCAUACCAGCAAAGCACCUGGCUGUCCCUCUUGUCUGUUUGUUGCCCGAAUUCUAACGAUCAUUUUUCGACAUCAGAUAUACACCAAAACUCAUUGGCAGUUUGCCAUCCUUAUCCGUCUCAACGUAAAAUAGACCCCUAAACCAACCCCUCUUGACUCGCUACAUUCUUUAGUUACUGAUUUUUCCUUUAACCGGUCCCUUGUAUCUUUCGGCCUUCAUUCAUAUGCCACACAGAUUAGGAUGACGCCUGAAGCUACACGUAACUUCUUGUAAGUCUGAUUAAGAUUUUUCUGGGUACCACAAGCCAUGCUGGAUAGCAACUUAUAGCUUCUAACGCCAAGAGAGGCAGGGAAACAAAGAAAGACCCUCUCUCCCCCCCCCCCCAUUCAAGGACCACAUCAAUUUGUGUCCUUCUCUAACAGACUACCCUGUGAAAUUGCAAUUGCAGAAUUUAACAUCAGAUGAGACAUGUCAGUAGGCUAGCCAAAAACUGUCCAUGCACGCGUUCAAUAACCAUUGAUGAACAACAACUAGCUGAUAAUGAUUGAACAAGCACCAACUCGGCCGCACAUGCAACGGUCAAUCAACUUGAAAGAGAUUUUAGAAACAAAUAUCCACGUCCCAAUAAACUGGAACUGGAUUCGCCGCCAUACUCAUCACGGCACAGCCACCAGUUCAAGCUUUUGAAAGAAGGGCAACCAAAACCUUGAGAAAGUAAGAGAGUCAACAGAAGAAAAUGCGAACAUUAUUUCUUCCCUGCACACUACACUCUAUUAACACUUGACAUGAGACGAGAGACGAGUUGAAAUGGUACGCAAAAAGGAAAAAGAAACGAAAGUGGAGAAGAAUGCAAAGUAGAGACCUGUUUUACAAUUUUAGUCACAAACCUGUUCACUGGGGUGGGUAUAUAUCCCUGUCCUACAAUCAGAAAGGUCCAUCAAGAACUACAGACGACGAAAGCAGAAAAUACAACCAAACUCCAAGCAACCGUGCAUAAACAGAAAUGUCUUCCUUAGAAUACAUCACACAAACCUAUAUUAACUAGUUCUUGACCUUGGACUAUCUUAACGUAUUGUUUCUAUGCUCUUGCUCAAUUCUUCCAACUUCUUCAUCCUCAACUUUUCACUCUCGCCGACCAGCUGCAGUAAAAUAAACCCAAUUCGACAUAAGAAGACAAAUAAACCGCUAAGGCUACCAUUCAAGCAUAAAUUAAAAAGCACACAAAUUAUCGGCCAGAGUAUUACAUUGCUCACCUCCAUCAAUCGGCUAAUCAGCUGUACUUUUUCCUUGUUCUUCUCAUUGAAAGCCUCCAGAGCUUCUUUGUAUUCCUUCUCCUGAGAAACAGAUGAUGAAGUUAACCCUUUAUUUCUUGAAAUGCAAGAUAAAGGCUCCACGUAACAUCAUAAGAAUGCCCAAAUUUUUGAAGGCACUAGUGACAUGUUUCACCUUCUUCUGGCAAGUCUGGCCCAGUGGUUUUAAAUCUUUGUUGACAGCAUCAAUCUUCUUCCUAACUACGGAAACUUCCUUCUUCAUUGGAUCUGCUAGCGCUUCUAGUUCCUGGUAAUUGAUUCAUGUUUCAUUCAAGGUAAGUGUUGAGAACAGCCCAGAAGUAAUUACUUCAGAUACCACGAAAAAUAGGCGGAUAGUAGUGAUAAAUCGAUGGCACAAGUUAUUAACUUGAGAUGCCUAAAAAGAACACCCUGAAACUUUGUUGCAAGAUCCCAGCACUUAAUUGACCAGAAGCAAGUCACACUUUUCAAAAUCCGCAAAUCAGAAGGAACGGCUUGUCUACGUAAUUGAUGAAUUGAUUGUUGUAAUACCAAUUAUAGACAGGAAUACGAUGUGAGACACUCAGACCAGACCCUACUGUUAGCAAAAACAGAAAAACCCCCAAAAUUAAAGAGGCAGACUUCAUGUAAUUUUACAUUUUCUAGGCAGAUAUACUCUUUCCCCUUGGCAGACUACAGAAAACCACCUCAAUUAGUCGGGUCUUGUGAAAAAAUUUCACCUCAAUUCUCUAGGCGCCUGAAACCCAUGCCCAAAACAAAUAAUUUAUGCCAGAAAUUAUCCGCCUUCAUACUAGGGUAAAACCAUAAAAUUUAAUUCUACACAAUAUAAAAGGUGCUUGCCUUUGCCGUAAAUAAAGUUCACAGGAAUAACAGUAAAAACACAAAUUAAUUCAACAGAGACAGACUAAUCACGAAGAAUUUCAGUUUAUACUUGAGGCGGUGAGGAAAUAACCAAUACGCCCCAAUUCUGUAAUUCUUUUCGUCAAAUUUAAGGUUUUUUUUUUGGGGGAGGGGAAGGGGGGCGGAGACAAAUUAAAAUCAUGCAUGCAGUCUUCUUUAACAGAAAAAUUACUAGAUCAGUACAAAAUCUUGAAUUAAAAAAGAAAAAAGAAAGGAUGAGCACCUCACGGAUAGUGGCCAAGCGCUUGGUCUCUUCUUCAAUACGGCCAAGCUGGGCUUGAACCUUCUCCUUGACCUCAAGCUUCUUCUUCUCAAUCUCCUCCUCCUUAGCCCUGAAAGUAGAGAGAGCAGACUUUGACAUCUCCUCAUCUUCUCUGCUCAAGGUCCCAUUAAAGCUUAGGCUCCCAGAAAUUUGACCAGACUGCAUCAGCGUUUGCAGCUGCUCAGAUCCCUGCCUCUGAGUUUGAGUCAUUCUUCCUCCAAGACAGCAGCCGCUAAAGAAGAAACAAACCCUUCUUCUUCCCUCAAUUCUUCCUCUUAGUAGUAUUAUCUUCUCUGCUAUUCUUCUUCGUCUUUUUUCCCUUUCCUUUCCUUUCUUCCUUUCCUCUCUUUUGCUUUUGCUUUUCUACACCGGGGGGGCGGGGGGGUUGUGGUGUGUGGAGAGUGGGGGGUAAAAGGGGGGGCCGGGGCCUGUGGGUUUGUUUUAUCUUUUCUUUCUUUCCUGUUUGCAAGUGCUUAUGAACAAGUCAGGCUGGCUGGCUGGCUGGCUGGCUGGCUGGCCUUGGCGUUUAAAGUUGUCAAGCCAGCUUAGCUUUCCUUUCUUUAUUUAUACCCCGCCCCCCCCCCCUCCCCAAAGUACUAGUCUAAAAUAUUUUUUACUAAAUAAAUAUUUUGUUUUUUUCUUUUUUCAUAAUAAAGCUUAUAUAAAUUACGAAAGUUGUAAUGUCAUAUUGUCAUUUGCUAAAGCACAAAAGUGAAAUGACCCAACCACCAAGUCUCAACUGCCCAGAAAUGUGUCUAUGCCGCCGCUCAUCCCUAAUGAAUGAAGGGAUGUUACCGUUGCUGAGGAAAACAUAAAUAAAUAAAAAUCCCCCAAUGAAUGAAGGCCUUUUUCUUUUUCUUUUUUUUUUUGGGCUGGGGAGGGGGGAGGUGGUAGGAGUGGUGGUGGGGCAGGUCUAAAUGUUCUACUCAGCCUUCACGGUGCUUUGCGUAUUUGGGAUUUGCGUGUCUAAUUUUUAAUUUUUAGAAAUCGAACUUUAUUAAAAGAUUUCAAGUUUCUUAAUAUACUAUUUUAUUUUGUUAAAUUUUGAUAACCAAUGGGAAAUUCCCUCUCAAAGCAAAGACGUUACAAAUGUGCGUAGGACAUUUUGAUGACACAGAAUUUUAUUAUCUGUUUGGAUAGCAUACAUAUAUUAUUUCAAAGCGUUCUAGAUCAAUUAAUAUGUGUAAUAAAGAGGUAGCUUUAAAAACAUACUGGAAACUUUUUGUUUUUGUAAGAUUUUCGUGGAUUUUUCUAACAAGUGCCUUGGGCACCCGUUAACACAAAAAUAUUCACAUAAUUUAUCAUAUUUAUAUACAUAUAUAUUAAAAUUAUUAUCAUUUCUUACAUUUAUACAUGUUUUCCAUUUAAUCUAUAUUUUUUAUAUUUAUUUAUUUUUUAAUUAAUUUUAUAUUUUAAAAAAUAUAACAUUUAAAAUAUAUUUUAACGAAUGUCGGCCCAAUUUUCACGAGUAACACAGACCAAAAGGAAGCUCAACCUCGGAGGUAGUACAAGGUAUUGGAACUAUAAAUUCCAACCUUUUUCUCUUUUACGGGAAGCACCCAUUGUUCGUACAGAUAAGGCAGGGCACAGUAAUCAAGUCAUAGACUGUUGGCGGCGAUGAUAUUACUGUUCAAUUCCUAAUUUGGAUUUCUCUAAUUAACCACUAGGCAAAAGCUCAAUGGCCACACAAAAAAAAAAAAAAAAAAAACUGGCUUAGAGUUCCUCUUUAAGUUAUAAGUCGGGAAAUCAAAUUUUUGAAAUCAAAAUUUUCUUGUAAUAAAAAAGAUUUAAAUGUGGUGUUAGAACGUUCUUGUGAUCUAGUCAGAUUUGUAAACCUACUAAUCUCUUACUCAGUUUUUAUAGAUUAGGUUAUACAAAUAUUAUUGUUACCGACAAAUUAAAAGAAAUAUUGGAUUUCUCUAAUCGGAACAACACCACGAAACAUUUCACAUAUUGCAGAAGAAAUAAAAAUUAGAGGAACUUUUCAAGAUUAGAGAAGGAUUAAAAUCUGUAAGAUGAGGUCACAUUUUCUGCUCGUACGAAAAGAAAACUUGUUGAGCAAUGCACAUUGGAUCAUGGAUGAUGAGUGCGUCUAUGCUAGGCAGUUAUUCUCACGAGUUGGUACCAUGGCAACUUCAACUAUUAUUAAAACUUUUUAUUCUCUGCUCUUUCCACUUGGUGUCACCACUGACAGAAGCCCUUGAUUUAUCCUCAUUACACUUACCUAGUAUUAUGGCGGUAUACUCUGUCUCUCUCUCUCUCUCUAUAUAUAUAUAUAUAUAUACACACUCACACACACACUAGUAUUUUGCUUUUUAUUGUAAAAAUCUGCAUAAAUAGGCAUCUUCUACCGAUCCAACAAGUUAAAGGGAAAACCAUUUUGCGACGCAAUCUUUUUGCCUGCCCAAAAGACGGGCAGCUUGACAUGUGCACUUGAGUGUUCUGCUUCCGUCUUUGCUAAAGCUUUCAAAGUCUAAAGGUUGAUGAUUCUUACUGAAAUUCUUGUUUCCUUCUUUUCCGUGCUAAUAAUCCCGCCGGAUUACCUGCUUCCUCUUUUUCUUGAGAUCGAUUGCCUCCUUCCUCUAAUCUGAUGUGUUAAAUUAGCAGCUCACUUCACCUUCCAAUAUAUAAAACCAGUUCGUCUGUCUGCUGCUCUGCUCUUCCUUUUCUGCCAGAAGAGAGAGCUAUAGUGAUUGUUAGGGUGACAAAGCAGUACUAGUGAUUCUCGACAGACACGGCCACAACGCCCGCCCAUUUCUGAGUCGUGCUCAAGAACAUCAUCAAUUCCUAAGGAAAAAAGUACGGUACGGAAUUACUAUAUUAGGGACUGAAAAGCUACAGAUCUAUCCUUAUUAAUUAAAGACAAAUGGAAUUGUCAAAACGGGUGGCUCGUCGUGGAUCUGGACGGAUCAUAAUUGAGUAAUAGAUAUAAUUGAAUCAUUUUAUUUAUAUGUAUUUAAAUAAAUGUUCAUUUAAUAAAUAGUAGGUAUGGGUAUGUUCAAUUACUCAUUUAUGGUCACUUGAAAUUCUACUUAUUUUUUCUUCUUUUUUUUUUGGCAUGUUGUUUGAUGAAAAAAAAUAACGAUAUUUUAUUAUUAUUAAAUUGAUAAAAAAUUGAUAUUUAUUUGCUCGACAUUCAUUAAAAAGUUGAUAUUAAAUGUAUAAUUAUUUUUAAAUGAGUAUAAAUAAAUGACUCGAAUUAACUCACUAUCCAUCAUCAAAUGAAUUUAAUUGGAUAUCUAUUCAGAUCCAUUCAAAAAUAAUUACGGAUUUGAACAAAUUAUUGGUGAGCGCUUUCGAGCGACUCAACGUCAAAUCCUCUCCCUCAGGAGAGCGAAUUGUAGGUUGAUCAGUUCUUUUUUACCGCUCAAGGUUUUCUUCUACUCCUGGGCCCUGGCCUGGGAGAAGAAUUUCGCACUAAAAUGACCCUCAGAUAUUUGUACAGAUGAAUUUUUAAUCCUAUCACUUGCUUAAGCGAAAAGUUUGGUAUGGAGUGGACGGAAAGGGUUAUCUGACUCCCACCUACGCUGAUACAAUACGAUACUAUACAAAGGAGAAAGCCUUAAGAAGCAAGUAGCAGCGGAGCAGCUGCUCCAGCAGACAGCGACUUUGCUUACCUUUUGACAAAUAGGAGAGUGCCCUUUCCAAUUUCGAUAUCCAAAUUCCAAGGCCCAAUCUCUUCUUUUAUUAUGAUUUACUAAUUGAAAAAGGUGUGCUACAUCUCAGAGGGCAUUAAAGACUAUUACGAUCCCCGUACUUCUAACCAUUAUUAACUAAUUAAAAGUCUCAAUAAAACUUAACUUCUUCUUGACUCGUAAACUACUGGCCAUUCCGUCCAUUUUCGCAAUUAAGUCUCCUCUAUUCCAUUAAGUCUAGUGACGCUCACGCCUAGACAUAUCAAAGUAUAACACAAAAAGAAUGAAGUGUAAAUACAGAAAAAUAUUUGAACCAAUAAAUUGGGGAUGUAUGGACAUUAAUGCCCGCGAACUUUCUCUAAUUAAAGAAAUGUAACGGCUAUAACAGAGGGAAUGACCAUUUAUUUAUUUAUGAGGUGGAGUUUGUUAUGAGGGUUUCCGAAUGGAGAAUUUGAAUAAAUUCUAUAAUUGUUGUUUGGAUUGCUACUAUCGGAAUUCAAAUUUUGGAAUCAUAUAUUAAAAAUUUGGAAUUCCCUAAUAACCUAAAGGGUUUUGAACAAAACCCAAAUUUGAUUCCUAUCUAAUUUAUCGAAAACCAGAGAUGGUAAUUGGGGCACCUGCCCCACAGGGAGCUAAUGGGGUUGGGGAGGGGAAGAAACUGGGCCUACUCCGCCACCCAUUAAAAAAAAUAAUAUGUAAUUAUAUACAUAUAUAAAUAGCAUUUAUAAUUAUAAUAAUAUAUUUUAUUAAAGCAUUAGUAUAAUUAUAUAAUGUAUAUUAGUAUAUGUAAUAUAAUUGGUAUUAUUAAUUAUACUAAUAAUUAUAUAUGUUUACUAAUAAAAUUAUUAAUUAGUUUCUACUAAUACAUUUAAUUAGUGGAAAUUUCUUAUAUCCCAUUUCGAAAGAGCCAACGAACCAAAUAUCAAUUAUAGUAAUGAUAUACAUUCCUGAUACUAAACCAAACAGAUGUAUUUGAAUGACUGAUUUUAUUCCAAAUUCAAGAUGAAUGAUUUCAAAUUUGUAUCAAAUUCCAAUAUGCGAACCAAACGUCCGCUGAGAUGAGAUCAAAAGCUUAUUAUUAGUAACUUAUCGACCAAAAUGUUGCCCCGAGAAUAAUUGGGUGGCAGCAUAGGUAAUUUUUUUCUAUUCUAAUUUGUUAUCAUCUGGAGCUUUAUUGUACAUCGGGUUAGUUGGUAUGAUUUGGUCAAGCCGUUACUUUUAGAAAUUUUAAAACGUUAAAAUCACACAAAGUUAAUUGGGGGUUUGGUUUUCUUUUCUUUUUGUCUCUCUUUUUUCUCUCUUUCUGUGGGGGGACCUUUUCAAGAAGGUUUCUUUUCUGGAUAGGCAGCCAGCCUGAGGAUUAUACGGUUGCGAUUGCGCGAUCAAAUGCGAUCAUGUCUGGACCAUUUUUAUAAGGGUUAAUUCCACUUUGUCCCCCCAAACUUUGGACGAUUACCCACUUAAGUCCCUAAACUUUAAAAUGGGACACUUAAGUCCCUAAAUUUAUAAAUACCUCCCACUUAAGGAAAAUUGUUAACAAAUCAUGAAUGCCGUUGGUGGUCGAAGUGUCCCAUUUUAUGAGGGUUUAGGGAUUAAAGUGUCCCUAUUUAUAAGUUCAGGGACUUAAGUGGGAGGUAUUUAUAAGUUCAGGGACUUAAGUGUCCCAUUUUGAAGUUUAGGGACUUAAGUGGAUAAUCGUCCAAAGUUUGGGGGGACAAAGUGGAAUUAACCCUUUUUAUUAUGGGGUUGUAAUCAUGUCAAUUCGCGUGCUAACAGUAGCAGAUUGGUUACUCCCGUAGCAAGUACCUAAUUAAAUUUAAUGUAGUUGCUUGUAUCAUAUUAGUAGGGACUCUGCAGAGUUUGGAAAGGACAUAUGCAAUCGGACAUAAUCAUUCGGGGUUUGUCCGGACUCAGGCCAAUCUCAAAAGUACAGUUGAAGAGAAAUUUGCCUAAAACUUUUUUGACAAUUUGGUAGGAAAGUAAAGUAAAAAAGUAAUCACUCUUGAUAUAUCAUCCACCCCAGCACUUACCUCGGAGUCAUAGGGCUUGGAGGCGGUUUUAUCAUAAAUUUUGCUGCCUAGCCUCUCAUGAUUGCUUCAAGGGUACCAUAUACUUAUAAGUAACAAGAAGGAUUCUCUAUUUAUAGAACCAAUAAACAAUGACAUACGUCGUGCAUGCUGGCUCCCUUGAAACCAUUAAUUGAACUCAGCUAAGCGCUGGAAAUUGAAGUGGUGUAACAUUACAUUAAAUUGCUGUCCUAGUCUUUAGCACUUUCACAAAUUUAUAGCCAAAGAAGGAAGCACAUGGAUUCAAUACUAGUAAUACUUUUGCGAGUCAUUUUACUAGUCAUUACCAAAAACAACUAAUUUGUAGAAUUGGAACAAAAUGAAGAGGUGAAUUGAAGAGGUGAAUUCUGACCAGCGAUAGUGAACUGAGGGCUGAAAGUGCUGCAGCUGAAGAGGUCACAGCGGUCUUGGUCACCUGCUUAAGUUACAAAAGGGGCUGAAUCCCCCGGUAGAACUCCGAAACUUAAGUCAGUUCGGGAUUGGGAAAUAGUUUAAUAGAGAGAAUCAGUGUAUGAUUUUUUACCAAGAAAGUCAUCCCUAUUCUCAGUAGAAGUCUUGAGUAUUUAUAAAGGAUGGGCAGGAAAGAGGGACUGCUGGCACGGGUCCCUAGAGAUCCGCCAUGGUAGAAUAUCAAGUUGAUGUGAUGGGCUUCUGCGAAAAGGCGCGCCGGAACAGUUAUCAGAAUCAGGCGGCGCAUGUCAGGGCAGUUUUAUCAGAAGUGUCAGAGGUGUCCGAGGUCAUGUCUCGCGGCUCCGGUGGUCAGGUCUCUAUACUUUGCCUCGGCCUUAUGAUAGAAGACCCAGGCCGAGGUGACAACUGGGCCGAAGUCAUGGCCCGAGUGACUGCCGGGGCGGGGGUUCCAGUAGUGCGGCAGGGCGAAACCCCACAGGGCGAAACCCCAGCACUAUCCGAGCUGGAAAUACCCUCCUCAUGGGCCCUCCAAGUCUAUUUGGCAAGUGAAGAGCUAUGAUGUACGAAGACUAUACUAUGCCCCGAUAAGACGUUAAAAACAACACACAGCACAAGCCACCAAGAUGCUCGCUCCAACCAUAGGUAGAAGAUAAAAGCAAAGCGACCAUAAAAAAUAUCACGGCCACAAAUAACACCUACAGCAUGACAAAUUAUUAUAUUUCCUUUCAAAAACAGCAGAAUUUAUUAGAGAGUGUGUGUGUGUUUUCUCUUUGUUGGUUGGGGUUGGGGGAGGGGGAGGGGGAGGGGGUAAAGAUGGGGUCCCGGAGAUGGACUGCUAUGCAAGUAUUUCUGGACAUUCUUGCAGAAACGUUCUGGUGAUUUUUCAGAAAUAGCUAUCGUUGAAUAUCAUAUAAUUGUUAUCUUAGCUGUCUCUUUGCCAAAAAAGAAAGGAAAAAGAAAAAAGGAUUGGACCGUUUUGUGGGGUUUAGAAAGGUACAUGUUUUGUUGGGGGCAAAUCAAGUUGUUGAAUGUUGAUAAGAAGAGAUUCUUUCUUACACCAGAUGGAUGAACUGUUGAGUUUUUGAUGCUCUCGCGUCUCAAAGUCCUGCAUGUAUAAUAGUAUCAAUAUGCCUAUAAACAAUUAAUACUCAGUGGAGAGCUAACUUAUAGUUGACCAAACAAGUUGGCAAAAGCCUUCUUCGAUACCGGAAGGAAGGUCCAGAGAUCAUUCACCGCUGAUGCAUUAAUUAUAGUUAUACUACUAAAGGUAAAGGCAGUAAGAGUAUGGCUUACUCAAAAACUGAAAGACGUAACAUGGAAAGUGAUGUGCAUUCAUUUGACGUUGUGCAAGUACCUGCAUCCAUUUGGACUCAUCCAUCAGAUAGCGAUUUUUUCUUUUCUUUACUUUUUUUGGUUGCCCCUCCCGAAUUUUAAUACAUUUAAUAACGACAAUUAGCAGAUUCCGGAUUCCAGUGGCCUGCAAUUGCCGUCACAUUAUCCGACAAUUUCUAUUCUUUGGUUACCUACAUCCAAUACCUUCCUCAUACAUAUAUAUAUAUAUAUAUAUAUGUAGGAAUGGCAACUAAGCAUAACUUUUAUCUCAUUUCUAUCCAAAUUCUUAAUUGAUAUUUGGCACAAGCAUAUUACGCGUUCUAUGAGUAUUCACAAAUAUUAUUUAUACAAUCCAAUUAAGUUUCUUAAUUUUCUUAGUGUUUUAUUUUAACACUUUUCUUGUUUCAUUUUUCAUUUUUCACUUUUUUCAGUUCCGUAUUUUAUUUUAUUCUUUAAAUUUAAUUUUGAUCUAUUGAAUAAAAGCUUCUAAAAAAAAUCAAAUUAUCACUUGCAGAUACCAGUGGGUGAAGCGGGGCGGGGUGGGGGAAACGGAGGUGGGGGACGGGGCGAGGGCGAGAGGAGUUUUAUGGCAACAAGACGGAGGACGAGGGAGGGAUCCCCCGCCCUAAAUCCGCCUCGUUGCCAUCUAUAUAUAUAGAUGUACAUGUGUGUGUCGGUACUCUUCUUGUCCUAUCUAUCAAUGGUAUAAGACAAAACCCCUCAAAAACAUUUAAUUUACUUUGUCCAAAAGCCAAACAAAAUUUGAAGUUCCGAGUGUACCGAUAUUCAUCUCACAAAGAAAAAAAAUUCUUUACGUGGUGGUAGCUGCAUUCCUAUUUGUCUACUCUACUCUAUGAUAUUUUUCUUCAUUGCUGAUGUAAGUUGGAUGAUGAUAUUAUAAAUUUCUAGUAACCACUAAUUUUAACUCUCUAUCAUAAUGAAUUAUUCCACUCUAAGUUGUUUUGCAUAAAAUAAAAUUUCAAAAAUAUACUACAAGAAAACAUAUCAGAUUUGUCUCAGUUGUUUCUAAUCGAAUAUAGCUAGCCUUUGUGCUUUUGACCAAAUAUUAUGUAUGUCUAUCUAGCUCGUAUAAAUAAUUUAACUUAGUUAAGCUGGAUUCUGUAGUCGGAUGCCGACGGCGACGACGUACCCUCCCCACCUUCAUGCUCGAGUCGACAAUGCAGGCAAUAAUAUGGGGGUAUCAAUUCAAGCAAACAUCAUUCCCGGAAGAAACGGAAAAUCAACGAGUUAAAAAAAAAAAAACGCACUACACACUCUUUAAGUUAAUCCAGAAAGCACUCACCGAAGGCCCAUGGAGAAUUGGGCCUACUGGACCUCCUCUUAAGCAUGAUGGCCUGGCCAUAUUUUACGGACUGGCGUGGCCGGUCAAGUCAAGUUCACCCCUACUUUUGCAUGUUAAUUAACACUUGAUCAUUUAGCCCAACCAUCCGCACAGGAAUUUCCCUCCCUUCCUCCCUCCGAAAGUGAUUAUAACUUGCAAAUCCUAAACCCGACAGAAAAGCUCUCCUGAUUUUCCACAAUAUGUUGACAGAUUCGUUGAAGAGGAGCCAAGUCCUAGGUUGUUGACAGUACGUGGAGAUGACUUGUGCUUCCCUGGUGGAUCCACUUCGGCAUGCUUGAAGCCCAGAUCCCAAGCUGUUUGUGGAAAGAUCUUUUAAUAUUGUAGCCUAUGGUUUAGUACCUUUCUUUCUUUCUUUUUUUUUUUUGUCGGACUCUGUUAAACUUAUCUCAGCCCACGACAAUCAGAGUGUUGGACGCUUAGUCAUUGGGUCUCGGGGGUCAAAUAUAUUGGGCUUUGCUAGAACAAUAAAGACAUUCGAGGUCAAGACUCUCAGCCCACGCAUCUUAACGUGAGUUUGUAGGGACGAAGGAUAUGAGGAUUUUUUUUUUUUUUUUUUUUUUUUUUUGGGAUAUGAGGAAUUGAUGAUAGUACAGUAGUGCAUUUUGCUAGUCGUAAAAGAAAAGAAAUGGUGAGUGCCUCGAGAAGAUGAGUCACGUGUUUUCACGUGAGUUAUCCCUGGGCGAUAGAUCGCGUGCCGGCGUGCUUUUGCUUUUAUCUUUCAGGUUUUUUUUAAAUUAAAAAAAAAACACAGAGAGAAAACAAAAGGUCCACGGGGGACCCACGUGAGCAGCUGUCUCUCUCCAUUUGCUCUGACAAAAAAGAAAACAUUUUUCUCUGACAUAACCAAACAGGGCGUCAGUGUCGACGUCGGAGGAAAGAGAGUUUGUACCUCUCCCGCCUGGGUGUGAGCUGGGCCCUCUUCUUUUUCUUUUACUACUUCUUUGAAAUUACCACUGCUAUGCUAGAUAGUACUAGUACCAUUCCUUGAAUUAAUUAAAUAAGGACGAAAUAGGUGACUUGGACGGCUAGCAUAGACGGACCGUACCAAACAACAGCUGAUCCAAGGAAUCCCGCUCUCUCUCUUUGCUGCUUCCUACACUUCUCUGUUUUACCUCUUCUUCUUCGUCUUCUCCUUUUAAUCGUACUAGUUGUACGCCCCCCACAGUAUUUUGCUGUUCUUCCUUUUUACCUAAAUACUCUAGUAAUAAAGAAGCCAACCCAUAUCUUUUCCUGUUUCAUUUUUGUUACCUAAUGGCUUGCUACAAUUGUUUGCCAUUGAUUUCUACUUCAAAGAGCAAAGAGCGUAGCAUCUGCUUCCUUUAGCCCAACUAAAGAAAAGUUAUGCAUUGAGAUGAAUGUCAAACCCAAAAAAAAAUUCUUUUUGGUACAAGAAAAUCAGUGACAAUAAUGAAUGAUGGAGUGUGGGGUAAAGAGCUGAAUGGAAUUUUUUUUUUUUUGGUCGACCCGAUAACUUUGCUAUUUUGCUCAUAUUCCUACUCUGUACUAUGGGGAUGAGGCGGGUCCAAGUGGGCUAAGGAAGAAUCUAAAAGAGACUGAACCCAUUGGAUGUCUUUGUAACUAUUAAAGCAAUCGGAUGUCUUUGUACCCAUUGGCAAAACUUUAAGAAAAUCUUGAAGAUGAUUGCAAGAAAGGGAUCGAAUUCCUUGACCUACAUCCAAGAAGAGCCUUAAAACUCUGUCCGGUGACCAACUACUCCAAGGGUAAAAGGUAGUUGUUUAAAGAGGUGAAUGGAAUUGAUGGGCGAGAUUUUAUGUUUGAAAUUAAGGAGUUAUGAGUUGGCCUGCUUACCUUAUCUGGCCCUAAUUAAAAUAUUUUCCAAUAUUGGAAAGGAUGUCAGUUUGCUUUAAUAGUUACAAGAAGCUGGACGUGAAAUCUUCGCCGAGGGCAAGAAAGGAUGUCAGUGUGCUUUGCCAUUCUUUUUCCUUUCAGCACGGUUCUCUUUUAUCCUUUCUUCUUUAUUGAUGCGAAUCAGCGGAAGAAAUUUCAGUCAAACUCAAGAGAGAUGCAUGUGAGACUCCAGUCACCUACCCCUUUCUAAAUAUACUUAUAAUUAUUUUGAAUGCACCUUUAAGCUUUUCACUACAUAUUUCUUAAGCUCAUUUCUGAAUUACAUUUUUUUUUAUCCCACAUAGGAACCUUUGCUGUGAAUCACUACAAAAGAAAAAAUUAUGCAACCUUCAAUUUAAUAAUAGCGCUGUGUUUGAGGUAGGAUUGGCAAUUUUUGAUGAUCAAAAUAUCAAACCUCUAACAGUAGCAAAUAUAAAUAUUGAGCAAUUAAGGCAGAGAUACUCAACAUAGUGACACUACCGUACUAAAGCCGAAUGAGAUAAGAUAAAGAAAAGAUUUACUUUUAUAAUGUUAACUUUAUAUCUUUUAUAAAAUCAAGUACGUAAACUUUGAUCCCAAUUUAGGUUUUCGAUCACUUUUCACCUCCAAUUUAGCACCUCCAAUUUAGCACGUGACCCACACAUGAUCCUAAAUAUAGUUAAACAAAUGACUCGAUCCAUAUUCAUUUUUAUCUCUAAACAAAAAGAAAAAAUAUUUGAUAUGAACCAUAUUUAUUUUUCCUUAAAAAAGUAUAAUCGCAUCCAAUCCGUAUUCAUUUUUUGUCAUUAAAAUAAUGGGAUCUAACCUUUUAUACGUAAAAAAUGAGUGCACAUAGGUCACGUGGUGAUUUUAGCUCAAAAAUUGAUCGAAAACUUACAUAAAGUUAAUAUUUUAAAAAUGAAAGAUGGAAAAAUUUAUUAAGCAAAAUAUGAUGGACGUUUUGAAUGAUUUUUUAAAGAUAAAAUAGUAUAUUUUGGUAAAAUUACGAAUACUAUGAAUUUAUUCCCAAUAAAGAGAAAGGAAAAUGAAAAACGCCAAAUUAAAGAAAGGUUUGCGGCCUUGUGCGAAAAAAAAGGGCAAGUUGUGUAGUACAAAACAGAAGAAAGCAGCCCAGAGAAGGGCCCAUACAUACAUACAUAUUCAUAAAGCGGGUAAAGAGUAGUCGCGUCGCAUUGAAACGGUCGUUGAUCACAUCGAGUGCUAUUUUAACACUCGUCAGAUAUUUUGACUCUUUUGCCCUCAGCUUAUUGAUUUCUCUUUCUUCAUCUACCAUUUUUGCCCUCUCCUUCUUUUUUUUUUUUUUUUUUUUCAAUCUUCACUUGUUUAGUCUACAUCUAUUCUAACAUAUAAUUUAAAAGGAAGAAUCCAACUGAACCUAUUGGAGAAUCACUAUUGGACCAGGUGGGUACACUGCGCAUUCAUAUACAUUUAAGGCACUUAAAGUGACAAGUAGUGGAAGGUAAAAUUUGAAACUUUAACCUCCUGUCCUAUUAAGCCUUAAAGACUAUGGUGGUGCCCUCGCCUUCUAAUUAGAAUGUUUUCUAAAGCGUCCACCAAAUGUCAACUGUGGCGUGACAAUGAUCCUAAAAUGUGUGUGCACCAAAGAUUAUUUAAAAUUUUUUUAGAAUAUUUAUUAUAGCACUUUUUGUGAUAUGAUGUAUAUAAAAUAAAAAAUAAUUAAAGCAAUAAAAAAUUACUAAAACUCAUAUUUGUGACGCAAGUUUUUUUUUGUUUAAAAAUAAUCACAUACCCAAAUACACUAGUGACUACUUUUUUUUUGUCGACACAGGGGUGUCCUGAUCAAUCCUUACGGGGCCCGACUAAUCCCCUGCGGACCGGGCCCGGCGCCCCAACCCGACCCGAACACGAUAAGUGCGCGGAGGAAUCCAGCAGAGCGGAAACUCGAACUUGGGACCUCAAGGAUCACCGGUGAGAGGCGCUACCGCUGGACCAUUCACGCGGGGCCCACUAGUGACUAUAACAACAAUGAAACUAGUGUCUAGAAUGACACGUAUUUUUUAAUAUACAUUUUAAUAUCCUAUAUUUUAUAUAAGUGAACUAGUUGUUACUUGAUCUCAUGCUCUUUCAUUAAUUGGCAUUAUGCGCAUGCAAAUCAGAAGACAAAGGCAACUUAUAUUAGUUCAGUUUGUUUGGGAAUGUCUUACUCUUACCUAUAUAAAGGUGUUUUGGAAAAAUAAAUUUCAAACACAUUUUUCCAAUCAUUUUUUUUUCACUCUUUCAAACUCAUUUAUGAAUAAAUAUACUAUAUGAAUUUCUUUCAAAUUUGACAAAUAAGACAAAUACAAGUUUCUUUUCUUUUAUUCUUUAAGCUAGACGCUUGCAAGUUAGCUGAUGGGGUUCCCAUGCAUUUUGCAAAGAUGCUCGCUCUUUACAAGUUUUAAUAUAUUAGUGACGGAAGUUUUACUUUUCUUUUCUACACACUCUUGUAUAAGUUUUCGUAGAUAUAUAUGUUUUUCCUUUUAUUUCUCUCUUUUUUUUAAGAAAAUGAAUUAUGAUUCCUUAUUCACUCUUUUAACUUCGUAAUCUCUUACUUACAAGUAUAGCUGUCAAAUAAACCCAUUUAACUAAAUUUAUCCACAUCUGUCUAUGAAUAGAUGGAUAUGAGUAUCUUAAAAUUUUGUAUAUGGAUAUAAAUGAGUUAUCCAAUAAUACCCAUUUAUUAAAUGGAUAUUAUUGGGUAAUCCAUCAAACCCAAUUAACCAAUUUAGAAUUGUCUUCCCCCAAACCUCCUCUCUUCCCCCACCUUUUUUUUUUUCAAAAUUUUCAUUUUGUCAUGAUGUUAAUUACUUCUGUUUCAUUAUUAUUAUUAUUAUUUGAUGAUUCUAUCUUAUCAUUUUAUUUUCUCUUAGCUUGUUAACUUACUCAUUUUUUAGCAUUACCAAUUAUUUUAGCAUCUUUUCUUACUUUUUCAAAAUGAAAUUUUAAAUUUACACACGAAAAAAUGCUAGAGGUUCAAAAUGUUUGGAUUAAGUUUUUAUGUUAACUUUUAUAGUACUUAGUUCAAAAUUUUAUAUUCAUAUUGUUUAAUUAUUAAAUUGUCGCGCCCCACUUUUCGAUUCGAGUGAAUUGUGAAUGUGAGUGAUGUGUGUGUGAAGUGUGGUGUGAACGUGUGCAAAAUGAAAAGUAAAAAGGCCAUGGGACUUUAGAAAGCGACGAUUUGGCCAAAUGAAAUUUUAAAAAGGGUUUUUUAAAUAUGAAAACGGAGUCGCCACUUGGUAUAGAUUUGGGGUGUACCAAGUCACCCAAAAAGUGUUUUUUAAAGACAAAGUAGCAAAACCCUUUUUAAAACGACUCCUAGUCCACGUAAGCCAAAGAAAAAGGUUCGGGGGUCACGUUUGACAAAGGGGAAGGCAAGGAUAGAAUCCAAGACACCCCUUUGACCUAGCCAAGGCUAGUUGCGCGACUCAAACCAAUUUUUCCUAAUUUUUCUACCCAAUGUAUGUUCGCAUGUUGGAUAUGACUAUAUGAAUGCAAAACGGAAGAAAAAAUGCAAUCCUAGAUUCUAAAAUGUCUCUCGUGAGGCCUUUGGUCCCAAACCACAUGAAUUGUGGCGGCCAACAAAGGAAAACCUCAUAGAGGUCGAUUAAUGCAAAUGAGACUCAAAUGUGCAAGUGUGGAAGUGUAUGAAAGAAAUUAAAAAUCCAAGUGUUUGUGUGCAAGUGUAUGAAAUAUAGUGAUAAGUGCAUAUAGGUGUAAUUAAGUGCAAUUUGGUGAAGUAGAAAUCAAAAUGAACAGUAAGGAAAAUGUGAAUUGAAAAGAAUGAGUAAGUGAUAAAUGAGAAUGAAUGAACCUAAGGGAAUGCAUCAGGUCGGGUAUGGGAAUGACUCCUAACUUGUCGACUUCGAUUUUCCCUUUGAUUAGAAGGCAAAACUAGCGUGCUAAGGCUAUCGAGUAGCCACACUCGCUCGUUUCCCUUAUCAGAAGGGGACUUUCAAGCAAAUGAACCCUAUAACUAGUAUGAGAUGCAAAAAUCCAAAAAUGAGGGGAAAAGGGGUUCGAGGAGCAUGCCAGAUGAUAAAACUAAGGAAAAAUGCAUGAUAUGUAGUGAACAAGCAAAUGAUAUGCUAAUGAGGGGAAAUCCCUAAGGGUCUAGCGUUGGACUAGCCCAUUCUAUGAAUUCCGACUAGCGUUGGACUAGCGGAAACGUACAUUCAUCCAUUCCAUUCAUUCAUGGCUAUAAAAGCAAGUAGACAUGCCAAAAUACUCGUAAACACAUAGCACAUAGCAUUUAGCAUGCUCGACUAGAUGCAAGAGCCUAAUAAAGCAAUUAAACAUGUAGCAACAAAAGCAAGCAACCAAGGGGAAGGGGAAAUGGACCAAAUGCUCUCCGAGCCCUAUCUAUUACAAGCCAAGAGGUGUACACAUACCCCAUAAAAGCAUAAAGGGGAAGGGGAAAUGGACAAGAUGCUCUCCGAGCCCUAUCUAUUACAAGCCAAGAGGUGUACACAUACCCCAUAAAACUUAAAUAAAAGUAAAAGCAAGUAAAUGCACGCAAGGAGGUAAGGAAAGCGGAGUAGGCAUGCAUAUUCACAUAACACGUAGGAGCACGUAGGGUCAAAUGAAGUGCAAAUGAAGGAUAGAGUGUACCUCCCUUGAAGCGACGCCCUAACGUAGUGAAAUUACUAAUUUACCCUCCAAAAUAAUAAAAAGGUCAAGGUACCACUUAAAUUAUCAAAUAAUCACAUGAGACAAAAAUUAAAUAUGAAAAAUGAAAGUUAAACACUAAAUUGAGUCAAUUAAAGUAUUUACAUAGACAAACCAACUAUGUACAAAGCAAUUAAUGCAAGAGGGACUUAAUUAGAAGGACAUGAAAAUUUCUAAAAGAGAGUAAAAUAAAAUAUCAAAAUUGAUGACUUAAGAUGAGACCCAUAAAAAAUCAAAUGCAAAAAAUGCGAUUAGAACACAAAUCCAAACUAAAAAAAAUCUAUUAAAACUUAUUGAACCUCAAAAUGCAUCCUAAAACUCACUAAACGUCUUACCCAAAAUCAUGUCAAAGCAAACCAAAAGCAAUUAAGAUUCUAGAAUGACAAAAGUGAUUAAAUUAUUCAACUAAUUGGACCAUAACAAGGCAAGGGGGAAUUUAGGGGGUCAAAAUGCAAGUGUUUUAGGACCUAAUUGUAAGAACAUGGAAUGUAAUUGGGCCACAAUGCAACCAAAGGAGACUUGAGGGGUUGGAAUGCAAUUUUUAGAAAAUUAUUUCAUGCAAAUUCAUGCAAGCUACGUGAAACACGCAUUCUGCAACAAGAAUUUCUGCUGAAAGCUUCCUGCAACUAAAAACGCAACCUCUACUUCCAUUUUUUCAUGCAGGUUUCAACAUUAACCACCACUUUGAUCAAAGCUUCUCAACCAACGUGGCCAGGAACUUAAUCUAAGCAGCAUGACACACAAAUUCAACUUCCAAACAAACCAAAACACAUAAAAAUCACUCAAACACUGGAGAGCUUUAUGCAAAAGGUGCGGCAAUUUCUGGUUUCAAAUGAAGAUUUCAGGAGCUCUUUGAUCACAACUUCUCAUCUAAUCUUCAAAGAAACUUGAACUACACAGCAAAACACAUAUAUUUCAUAUCCUAACCAGCCCAACUUAUAAGGAAAUCAUGCAAGUUCUAUGCAAGGUAGUAAGAAACAAGCUUCUGCAAAAUCCUGCUGCAAUCCUUUGCAGCUUCAAACCAUGCGUAUUUCAAUCCAGAAAAAUGCACAAAGUUCAUUUGUUUACCAGCCCAACUCAUAGGAAUCCCAAAUCAACAACUUUAGGCCAUAAUCAUCUAUCAUUAGUGAUCCCAACAGAGUAUCCAAACAAUAGAACAAAGAAAGAAACAACAGAAAUUCUCAACCUCUGCUCAAAACAAUCAAACCAGAACGUUCAACAAAACAUACUAAAAACUGGACCACAAAGCAAACGAAAUAUCAGACAUCUGUACAAGAAAACUCAAGGCAACAUCAUACAACCCAUGAAGAUGGUUGCUGCAGCUCAAAACUUGCUGUCAUUUCACUUUUGCACUAAAACUUCAGAUUCAAACACACGCUGUGAUCGAACUUUCCUAAUUAAACAUCAAAGCUCCAAUCUACCAGGUAAGGCCACUGGACCUUAGCAUCUAAACAUGCGAGAAAACUGGGCAAGAGUUUAUGCCAGUUCUGGAAAAUUUUCGUGCAAUAGAGUUCUUGAACUUUAGCAAUUAAUGCUCCCAAUGAUUCGGCAUUUUCGCAUGGCAGACUCAUUCUCAAAUCAAAACCAGCUUCGAAUUCAUAUCAUGCAUGCCGGGGAAUGAUGAAAUCAGAAACACUAAGGAUCUACAUGCAAACAAGAAUGUGAACUAAGCUUUUUGUCAAAGGAAACAGAAAAAUGCAACAGCUAUAAAGGCUUUCGGCCAUUCCAAACUGCUGCCAUUUCAACUUUAAGAUUCAAACACAUGCUUCAAUUGAACCUUCAGAACCGAUUAUCAAAUACUUUAAAUUCGGACAGCAACGUCAUUGGCCAUUAAACAUCCAAAUGUUGUUCAUGGAGUUCUAGCUAAGUGACCAGCAAAAAUCAGAUUAUCACAACCCGAAAGCCAUCUAACAGCCCAAACACAACAAAAAAAACUGCUGCAAUAAGUCAAGGCUUUCAAACUUAUUAAAGCAAAACCUUCAAACGGAUUCCCAAAGACAAAAACAGACCCAAGCUACGCAAGUAAGGACCAAAGAUACAACCUUCGGCUCGCCAGAUUGGAGAAAAUCAUAUUCAAAGUUUUAAUGAAUCGAUCCCAAGCAAGAUUUCAUUUUUCUGUAAAAAGACUUUGGACUAUGCAUUUCUAGACUGAAACAGAAGCAUAUUCAUUUGAUAAUCAAGAACAUGCCGCCUGCCAAACCAGGUUCCAUAACAUUCAAGCGAACAAGAAGCUCAUGGUACGAAGAAAAACAAAAUAGCAACGAAAAAAAAAACAGCAACUUUGGGAUUUAUAAUGAAAGGGAAACACAUGAAACUUCAUAUAUCUAGCAAUCAGAUUUCAUAUGGAAUGAAAAAUAGAACAGAGAAAGGAUCAAAGGCUACCUGUUCAACAACUUUGGAUUUGCAGCUUCAGUUUAGAUACGAUGAGGAGAUUAACCGCAGAUUCUGAUGAAUAGCUUCUUGGGUUUCACUUGAUCUCCCUCCUGGCCGUGACUUCCUUUUCUGGCCCGUCUCUCUUUGGUUUUUGUUUCUAAACCCUCACGGCCGCCAACUCUACUCAGCUCUCCCCUUUGUUCUCUUCACUCUUUCUUCACAAAGCUCUCCGUUUUUUCUCUGCCGUCCCCUCUUGCUCUCCGUAACCUUUCUCUCUUUUUUUUUUGUCCGCCGUCCACCCUCUUUCUGAUUUCUCUUUUUUUCAAGAAAACAUUGAAAUUAAAUCACAAACAACUAAAUCAUAUUUUGAAUGCUUUUCUUUUUCUUUUUUCUUUCUUUUUUUUUUUUUUUUUAAGAAAUUCUAUGCUAAAAACUUAAACAUAAAAAUAAAACUAUAAACUAAAAACGAAUGAAACUAACAUAACAAAUAAAAAACUAAAAAUGAAAUUACACCAAAAAUUUGGUGUCUACAGUUUGCCCCUCUUUGUCUGAGUUUUGGAAAAACUUGAGACAAAAAAGUAGACACCAAACACUUACCUGUGUCAUUCGGUCACGAAUGACUCGAACGACUGCCAUUUUUGAAAAUGAGGACUGACCUCUUUUGAAAGAAAAUUUUAACAAGGAAUUGACUGAGACAAGAAAUUUAAAGCGGGACUGACCCGAACAAGAAUUUAAACGGGACUGACCCGAACAGAAAUUUAAACGGGACUGACCCGGACAGGAAUUUAAACGGGACUGACCCGAACAGGAAUUUUGAAAUCGGGACUGACCCGAACAGGAAUUUAAAAUUGGGAUAGACCUACGGGAUAGACCCGGACAGAAAUGUAAAAUUGGGAUAGACCCACGGGAUAGACCCGGACAGAAAUAUAAAAUUGGGAUUGACUAGAGAUAGAAAAUUCAAAUCAUGGGACUGGCCCGAACAGGCUUUAAUCACGGGACUGACCCGAAUAAGCUUUGAAUUGUGGGACUGACCCGAAAAUGCUCUUGAUCGUGGGACUGACCCGAAUGAGCUUUUGAUCAUGGGACUGACCCGAAAAUGCUUUUGAUCGUGGGACUGACCCGAAUAAGAUUUUAAUCGCGGGACUGACCCGAACAGGCUUUGAAUCGCGGGACUGACCCGAAGAAGUUUUGAUCAUGGGACUAACCCGAAAAUGCUUUUGAUCGUGGGACUGACCCGGAGAUGCUUUUGAUCGUGGGACUGACCCGCAAAUGCUUUUGAUCGUGGGACUGACCCGGAGAUACUUUUGAUCGUGGGACUGACCCGGAGAUGAUCAUGGGACUGACCCGGAAAUACUUUUGAUCAUGGGACUGACCCGAAAAUGCUUUUGAUCGUGGGACUGACCCGAAAAUGCUUUUGAUCUUGGGACUGACCCGGAAAUGCUUUUGAUCGUGGGACUGACCCGGAAAUGCUUUUGAUCGGGACUGACCCGAAAAUGCUUUUGAUCGUGGGACUGACCCGGAAAUGCUUUUGAUCGUGGGACUGACUCGAAAAUGCUUUUGAUCUUGGGACUGACCCGGAAAUGCUUUUGAUCUUGGGACUGACCCGGAAAUGCUUUUGAUCUUGGGACUGACCCGAAAAUGCUUUUGAUCUUGGGACUGACCCGGAAAUGCUUUAAAAUUGGGAUAGACCCACAGGAUCUUUGGAAUGUUGGCGGCACAAAACUCAGGCCCAACGUGAUGUUUGGACUGUUGGCGGCACGAAACUCAGGCCCAACGUGACAUUUGAACUGUUGGCGGCACGAAACUCAGGCCCAACUGGACAUUUGAACUGUUGGCGGCACGAAACUCAGGCCCAACGUGACAUUUGAACUGUUGGCGGCACGAAACUCAGGCCCAACUGGACAUUUGAACUGUUGGCGGCACGAAACUCAGGCCCAACUUGAUAUUUGGAAUGUUGGCGGCACGAAAUCCAGGCCCAACUUGAUAUUUGGAAUGUUGGCGGCACGAAACUCAGGCCCAACGUGAUUUUGUGAAGUUGGCGGCACAAAGUCCAGGCCCAAUCCUGCCAGUGGUCAGUGGGAUAAGACCCAAUCCUGCCAUCCAAUUGGUGAAGAAUUUGAUUCGUCAAAAUUUUGAACUUUUUUUUUUUUUUUUUGAUUUUUUUGAAUUUUUCUGAUUUUUCGAGAGAAUCUUUUCCCAAAAAUAAUUUGCCCCAGUGUAGGGCCCUUUUCCCUUCUUUCUUCUCUUUCUUCGGCAUCGGCCUUCCACAUCGCCAGAUGCUUUUCGUCGACUUCAGCUGUGAAUACCUGCACAGGGCUUACGUGCACUCAAAUGAGCGUGACUGAUUUGAAAAAUGCAUUAUUUUGAUUCUUGGACGAAAUCCUCAAUUGGACUACAAAAUAUUUGUCCCUGUGUGGGCUUAUUUUGCAAAAUUUUGCAAAUAAAAAUUUUGCACCAGUUUGGGCCCAUUUGAUUGCAAAAAUUGGUUUAGAUGAUUUCCCAUUUACUUGAACAAAGAAAAACCGCACUUUCUAAAAUUUAGAAAAGAGUGCACAUACAACAAUGUGAAGAAACUUUAAUCGUCAAGUUUGAACUCAUGCAGAAAUUUCAUGAUGAAUUCCUCGAAAUAACACCAAAUUUAAGAAGAAGAUUUCUUCCUUACUUUUAGCAUUGGUGCUUAGGGUAAUGGGUCACCACUUCUGGUUGACUCAUCUUUUCAGGACCAAUCAGGUGACUUUAUUUUUGAAAUGGCCAAGGAAAUGGGAGAUAAGAAUCUGUCUCAUUUUUGUGCCCCAGUUGUAUGUAAUCCAUUUAAUGUCACAUCUUAGUGAAAGCAAAGAGUUUGUUACCCUUAUUUUUAAGAAAACUUAGUCAACAUACAAGCUUUCUAGGCUUGUAACGUAUGGACAGAAGUGAUAGCUAAACAUGUGGAAACGGGUUAUGCCCUUAUGAUCACAAAUGAUUUGAUGAAUUUCUUAUGAGCAUGAUCCUCACUUUGGAUUGUCAUGAAGGAAUAAGUCAACGAUGGACUUUCUUAGCUUGUAAUUUGGCUUGAAAACGAUAGUUUAAGACUUUCAAGGAUAUUGCACCGAAGAUCGCAUUUUUCAAAAUUUGCCCCUAUUUUGAACUCAAAAGAUCUCAGACUUUGUUUGCAUUUUUCUCAUCACUCACCAGAGACUUCAGCGUCAAUUUUUCUGCAUUUUCUUGCAUUUACUUUCCUUUCUUUGCUUUUUGCCUCUUUUCCCUUUCCCUCGAGCUGAUGGGUUUUCACAUGGUGAGUAGCGUCAACCUCAUACUCAAGCAAUUCAGAAAUACAGCUAAAAUUUUCCGGCAUCAGAAAUUUUCUUGACAGGGCCAUUGCAAAGAACAGGAGUCAGGACUUUCGGCUUUGUAAUGGGGUCAGGUGGGGUGCUUAGAAAAGUUAAGGCCUGAAAACGGAUUUCAAAAGUGGUUUGAAGAAUCUGAGAUCGCAUUGUUGCGCCAAACCCUAUUUUAGGGUAAAAUCGGAAUUUGCCCCAGUUUUUGCUCAAUUGAGGCUUUUUCUCUUUCAUUUUCUUUUCCCUUUUGAUUUUUCGGCCUUUUGCCAUUCUUUCGAACUUUCACAAAAUUUGCCCCAGUUUAUUUUUGAACUGAGGUUCUCUUUUCCUUCCUUUGUUUUUGAUCUUGUUGCUUUUCACUUUUCACUUCUUGAAAUUUUCUUUUCAACUCAGACUCGCCCCCAGUGUGGGGUUUGCGAUUCUCAGGGGUUGUCAAACGAAAUAAUUUAUUCUGAUGGCUCAAAAGGGAUAACUAGGGAUAAAGUGUUCGAUUGGAAAAGAAGAUGGCCUGACUUGUAUUCCAUUCCUUACAACAGCUCUGAAAGGAAACUUUCGUUAAUGCGAAAUUUUUUGCGUGUGUCUGAAUUAAUUGACUGAGGAAGACCCUUGCUCAUCCAUAUUUGUGAAACAUAGGCGAUUCAUAUGGACAAAAACCCUUCCUUUUCUUUUUUUCAAACUUGGAACCCAAGUGGAAUCAAAUUUCCCCAAUUUGCAGUUCCCUCCUUAUUCUAGCAUUUUUGCUUUUUCCCUUUUCUUUUCCUUUUUAAAAUUUCCCAAUCUCCUUCCCCAAUGCGAGGUACGAUCAUAAGUGCAUUCGAAAAGAACCACCAAUUUUAGCUCAAAUGAGGACGCAAGGGAUAAAUGGUGUUUAGAUUGAAGAAAUGAUGGCCAAAGUAUCAUUCUUACAUUUCAUGACAACCAGAGUAACGAAAUGCUCAUUGACAAUCCAUUCCCUUUUGAAAGUUUUCCAAUGUAGGGUAGAGAUCAUUAAGGCGUUUAUUUGGAAGGAAAUUAUUCUUCUAUAGGCUCAAAUGGGAGAGCAAAUGAUAAAAAUCUGUAUAGGUAGUGAAACGAAUGCUUGAAGUAUCAUUCCAAAUUUUCAAACAAAUAAGAAUAAUGCACAUUUUUGCUUUCACUUAGAUGUGAUUGAAUCGAUUAAACACAAUGGAUAUUUUCAAGCAAAGAUGGCCCCAAUUUGCGAUUUAUCAAUCAAUGUGACUGAUUUUAUUUUGGGGUUCAGUGAAGGAAAAAAGAUAUCUCAUUGGGCCUUCUGAAUGACCUCUUUUAAUUCUGAACACUCUUAUUGUGAAUUUUCAGGUCGGAGGUUGAAAAAAUCCCAAUUUAGUCUUAUUUCUUAAAAUUUAUCAUGAAAUCUCCAAUGAAUAAGAAUAAAGAAUGAAAUGUACAUAAAUAUACACAAAACAAUGAUUGUCCAAAAAGUUUAUUGCUGAAAAAGUUUGAAACAAAAUUUCUCAUUCAAUUAUGAUACAAAUGAGAAGAGAGAAAAUUGUAAAGAGUUCCACAUAUACACUUUUUGUCUCCUUUUUCAAAUAUACAAAAUUUUCCUUUGGAAAACAAUUACAACAUUUCUCAGAGGGUUUUCAUCGUAGGACCCGCCCAAGAAUCAAAUAACACUUGUAAUUUUCAAACUUCAUUGGAUUAAAAUUAUCAUCAGAUAUAGAAGAAUAUUUCCGUCUUAUUGAAAUAUUUUUAUGAAUGCAAGGGAGGGGGGAAACAAAAGAAAAAUACCCCGAGUUAGUAGACAAAACUGCAAAAUCGGUAUGCAUGUCCUAUGGGGGGAACCCUUUUUAUGCCAAGGGUAGGCCUAGCAUGAAAAUGCAAUCCGCUAGAAUAGGCACUAUACAAUACCUGAUGGAUCAGAUCAACUCAUGGAGUGAAAAAUAAUUUUGAAAAUUUUGGUCCAUUGGAAUGAGAAGAGACGUUUGUCAAAAUGAGGACCUCAUCCGAAGGGAUUGAUCACUUUUGAUUGAUACAAGAACUUGCAAAAAUGCACGGGUUUAACCUUAACGAACCUCCUAUCGAAGAGAUUGGAAUUCGUCUUGACAACUUUUCUCAGUGAAGUACGGGUCAAAACUCCAACUGAUCAAAUAACUGGAUGCAAUGGAUGCUUUUCUCAAAAUCGACUAGAUUUCCCAAUUUGGAAUUUGACAAUGAAAACCUAAUUGGUCAAAUGAAAUUGACAAUUUAUUUAAAAUCGACCGAAUUACCCUAAAAAGGGAAACAGGUCAAAUGAAUUGAAUGAAAUUUAUCCAAAAUUAAUCAGAUUUCCCUAAGAAGGGUAAAUUGAUCAAACAGAUUGAACGAAACUUGAUUUAUUCAAAAUCGGCUCGGUUGCCCUAAAAAUGGGUAAAUUGGUCAAAUGAAUGAAAUUGAAUUAGGGAUUUAUUCAAAAAUCGGCCGAAUGACCCUAAAAAGGGUAAAUUGGUCAAAAGACCCUAAAAAGGGUAAUUUGGUCAAUUGAAUUGAUAAUUUAUUCAAAAGCGAUCGAAUGACCCUAAAAAGGGUAAAUUGGUCAAAAGACCCUAAAAAGGGUAAUUUGGUCAAAUGAAUUGACGAUUUAUUGAAGAAUCGACCGGAUGACCCUAAAAAGGAUAAAUUGGUCAAAUGAAUUGGAUGAAAUGAAUUUAUUCAAAAAUGAUUAGAUUGAACUAAAAUUGAAUGAAUUGGAAAAAAUGGAUUGGAUAAGAUGGAUGAUUUGUUCAAAAAUCGAUUGAAUUAUUCGCCCUACUGGGUGGUUUCUGUAAAAAGACUUUGGACUAUGCAUUUCUAGACUGAAACAGAAGCAUAUUCAUUUGAUAAUCAAGAACAUGCCGCCUGCCAAACCAGGUUCCAUAACAUUCAAGCGAACAAGAAGCUCAUGGUACGAAGAAAAACAAAAUAGCAACGAAAAAAAAAACAGCAACUUUGGGAUUUAUAAUGAAAGGGAAACACAUGAAACUUCAUAUAUCUAGCAAUCAGAUUUCAUAUGGAAUGAAAAAUAGAACAGAGAAAGGAUCAAAGGCUACCUGUUCAACAACUUUGGAUUUGCAGCUUCAGUUUAGAUACGAUGAGGAGAUUAACCGCAGAUUCUGAUGAAUAGCUUCUUGGGUUUCACUUGAUCUCCCUCCUGGCCGUGACUUCCUUUUCUGGCCCGUCUCUCUUUGGUUUUUGUUUCUAAACCCUCACGGCCGCCAACUCUACUCAGCUCUCCCCUUUGUUCUCUUCACUCUUUCUUCACAAAGCUCUCCGUUUUUUCUCUGCCGUCCCCUCUUGCUCUCCGUAACCUUUCUCUCUUUUUUUUUUGUCCGCCGUCCACCCUCUUUCUGAUUUCUCUUUUUUUCAAGAAAACAUUGAAAUUAAAUCACAAACAACUAAAUCAUAUUUUGAAUGCUUUUCUUUUUUUUUUUUUUUUUUUUUUUUUUUUUUUUUUUUUUUUAAGAAAUUCUAUGCUAAAAACUUAAACAUAAAAAUAAAACUAUAAACUAAAAACGAAUGAAACUAACAUAACAAAUAAAAAACUAAAAAUGAAAUUACACCAAAAAUUUGGUGUCUACAUAAAUAAUAUGUAAUUUUGCGACAUGGAGUACGGAUGGAAAAAUUUGAUAAUUAGGCUUAUUGAGCAUUAUAAGUAAAUAUUUAAAAGUAAUGAUGGAUGCAAAAGAUGGUAUAAAUUGAUAACUUAGUUUGCAAAAAUAAAUUUACAAAAAGUUAAAAUAAAUAAGUAAUCGGGUUACCCAAUUCAUUUUUUGACUUACUUAUUUAUACCCAUCUAAUUAAAUGGGUACUCAUUUAUAUCCAUUAUCCAUUCUACCCAAUCCAAACCCGUCCAAAUCAACGAUUUUGACACCUCUACUUACAAGUAAAACCUGUCGUCAAUUAGAUUCAUUGCAUCAGAGUUGAAAGUGGAAAACUUGGGAAGCUUAUUUAGGUCUUGUUUGAAUUGCAAUUUGUUAGAGUUUUUUUUUUAGAAUAUGUAUUGUAGCGAUUGUCGAUUUGAUAUAUAUAAAUUUAAAAUAUAUAAUUAAAAAAUAUGUUAAAAAAAAAACAUAAAAACGUCCGCGUUGUUUACCGUCCAAAACGCAGACAGAGAUAGUCCCAUUUAAUGUAAACCAAAAUAAAAAGGGUAUAAGGGGCCUUUAAACCCAGAGUCCCAUUAAAACAGACUUGACCAGAUCACUAAUAAAACGGGAAGACAUGACAAUGUCAUAUAUGUGGAUGGGCAAAAAUUUGUAGUUUAUGAGCAGACGGGAUCCUCUGUCCAAUUUUUUGUGUCCAAUUUCCUGUCCAACACAAAACUACGUAGUUCCACUUAUUCUUGUGGCUGACGUGGCACAUAAAAAUAAAUGCCUGUUUGGCUCAAGCACCAAGCAACAGCCCUGUCAAAUUGUAACCAUUCACGUGAAUUCCUCCAAAGCAAACCACUAGCCUAACGGAAAGACAUAGCAAAAUUUGAGACAUACAGAGAGACAAUCAAAUCCUUGGAAGUACAAAGCAAAAUUUGCAGCUGGGCCUAACGGAAAGAAUAAUCUAAAAAAUUGGUGAAGGAAAACAAAUUGUCCUUCUCGCUUUCUUUGAAGGAAAACAAAUUGUGUUUUAACAUUUUCAGAUAGAAAAAGUGUUUCUUGUACCUUUUGCAAUCUAUUUUUUAUUCUGGUAAAUUGAUUCCUCUUUUUGUUUUUUAAGUAGAAUUAUGUCUUCAUUGAUACAGUGUUCAUUUAAUUUAUAAUCCAUCUCUUGGGGAAAUAUGGUUAAAAACUGACAUAUUUCAUUGGCUUGGUUGACAAAGUUGCUAAUUGAAUGAAAAACCAUGUGAUGGAUAAAAAUUGAAAACCUUUAAACAUCAUGGAGACCUCUGCUAUUUUAAGAUGUAAUAGCUGUUUUCUUUUCUUACCACCCCCUCUUUCCCAGAGAAAAAAAAACACCACCCCACCCACAUACAUACAUUUUAUAAGGCAUACGGAUUGCAGUGGUAAACAAAUAUAUGUGCUGCAAUUUGGUUCACGAUGAUUGUUGUUUCAGAUGUCAAUGCCUAGAAGAUUAUAUGCUUAGCUAGUUUUUUUAUUUUUUUAUUUUUGGUUUUAUGGAAUUAUAUAUUUCCUUUUCACAUACAGUGAUUUUUGUGAUCACUGCUAAACCGGGGGAAGUAGAAGGUGCUGUGAUUUGAUUGCGUUGUCUUUGGAUUAUAAGUCAACCAGAAACAAUUGUUCAGAUGAAUAUUAUUUUUUUCUUACCAUCGGCAAAGAAGUCCCAAAUCUUCUUGACGCUCACGGCAACAGGUCUUGGGAAUUGUUAUGGUAGUAAUAGGGUUUUGGGAAUUGUAAUAAAGAUAUGUAAAUAAAGGAAAUUCAAAAAAGAAGAGAUAUCCAAAAGUAUAAUGGAGCCAAAAAGGUAUUUAUUUUUAUGUGCCAUGUCCGCCACAAAAAUAAGUGGAACUACGUAAUUUUGUGUUGAACAGAAAAUUGGACACAUAAAAUUGGACAGAUGAUCCCGUCUGGUUUAUGAGACCCCAGACAAGGCAAGGCCUUUAAAGUUUAAAGGCACAUCAUCCAAUCGCUUUCUGAUAAUAUAAGACCUAGAGAGAAACCCAUAUUCAACACUACUAAAUUGCCAGGCCCCGAAUAUCUUGGUUUCUGUAAAGUAAUCGCGGCUGCUAUCCCUUUCAUAACUCACAGUUUUUUGUAUGAGUGUUUCGAUAAAUGGACUCUGCGAAGACACUUCAAAAGCCGGCAACUUUUGAAGUAGAUGCUAUCAAGUUACUAGUAAUUUAAUAUAGUAGCAGUAGAUGCUAAGUAGUAGUAGUACACCUUAUUAAGUAAGUAAGUAGUAGUACUACUUCAGAAGAAAGCUCCAGCCCACGGGCGUUGAGGCUUCCUUCUUUCUGACAUUUUCUUACAGAAGUAAGAAUUUACGCAAAUAAAUCUAAUCCCUACAGUAACUCCAAAAGUCGGCAACUUUUGGAGUUGAGGCUUCCUUCGUUCCACUUCUUUUAGUCUUAAAAUUAAUAAGGAUGAAAAGAGAGAUGCAUGCAUGUUUUGGCCAAGAGCUUCGUAAAUAGAUGGAACCUUUUUGUGCAGGAAAUAUAUUCAUCAAAAUUCUGCUAUUCCUUUUAAACCCUGAAAAAACAGGAAUUGGAUUUUUAUUGGUUUUUGAGUGGAACGUGUGCUACAUUAGAUUUGAGACUCAGGUCAUGCAUGAGUUCCUGCUACGAGCAUGGUUCGAAGUCUCGGCCGAAACCGAGACGACUCGGUACGAUACCGUGAUGAAACGAUACCGAAAUACUUGACUCGCCGAGAAAUCAAUCUUUAAGGGUUGAAAUGGGCUGCUCAAGCCGUUAAGGGUUCUACCUUUUUUUUUUUCUUUUACUUUUUUUUUUCCUUUUCUUUACCAGUAGAGAUAAUCAAUCAAUCUGUGCUCGUUUUUUUUAAAAAAUUCCACUUUUAACAUAAACAAAGAAACAACCUGAAGGGAACAGAAGAGCCAGGUGAUUGUUGAUGGAAAAAUAUCCAAGACAAAAACUGGCUUUGGGCUGAAAUGGAACUUUGCAUUGUCAGCUCAGCUGGCUUACGUUCUUGACUGUCGUGACUUUGUUGUAGCAAAUGCAGGGCACAACCACAAAAUGGGAAAAAGCUCAGCAAAAUCCAAAACUCGAAAUCUCCAAAUUGGAUUAGGCAUUUAAGCUGUUGUGUCCUGUUCUUCGUCCUCGCACCCCUCCCUAGUACUCCCCCCUCGUAAAUAAUCCUGCAAUACAAAACUGUACCCAAAAAAUAACCGCUGCUUCUUUCUGUUGUUCCGUAACUUCCGUUUCCGAAGUCAUUACAUUUCAAGAAACAUCAACACUGCUUUCUGUCUGCAGCUGCAGCUUCCUCCCUCUCUCUCUCUCUCUUUCGUUGAGUUUUUUAUGAUAUUUUCUGGUGAUCUUUUAUUUAUUCAUUUAUCUUCUCUCAACUGUCUUGUCUGACGGUCUUUUUCUCAAGUGCCCUGACGCUUCUGCACUGGUCCACUGACCACAAACAGAUUUUUAAAGGUCUAAGGGGAAGAGGGAUGAGAUGAGCAGGCAUAUUAAGGAGGAGGGUGUCCACUUAAAGUCAUUUCACGUGCUUUUACUACAAACUUUCUCUUAAAAAUCCCCAACAGCACAAACAAAAGCUACUUGAUCAACCAAAGCACUCACAAAACAAAUCCCACAUCUCCUCGUUCUUUUUCUCAUCUCUCCAUGGACUUCAAUCUGAAGCAAUGGAGAGAACAUCAUCAGGGUGAGUCAGACCAAGAACACACUACGCCUUGUGCAAAGAUACCAAGACUUCACCUUGAUUACUCUGUUUACCCACAGCAUCAGCCACCCUCAGGAGACUCGUCUGCCCUUCCAUUGUUUGUUACUGAACCAACCAGUAUCAGUAAGCUCAGCAGCAACCUGUCAGCGCCAUACCCAAACCCCACUGAUUCAACUCCCACUCCCACCAAAUAUCCCGGUAACGACACACACACCUCUCUCUCUCUACUUUAUUAGUAGUAGCAUCUUCUUUUGCGUCUCAGCUACUACUCAGGAAAGUUUUACUACUUCCCGCUAAAAAAAGUAUCUUUGUUGUUUGUUGCUUCUAAGUAACCAAGUAUGUACACGCAUUGUUUCUCACUCUUUUUCGCUGAUAUUUAGUGCGAUCAGGAGAAGCAGGAGGGAUGGGGAGUUAUUACUUUAGCUUGGCCCAGUGGCAGGAGCUUGAACUGCAGGCAUUGAUCUUCAGACACAUGCUAGCUGGUGCUGCUGUUCCUCCCGAAUUACUCCACCACCUUGUCAAGAAAACCCUCCUCAACUCUUCUCAUCAUCAUCACCCUUAUUACGCCCCUCACCACCAUCGUCAUCACUAUCCUCCUCAUUUCCAAUCUGCAUGUAAGUUGUCCCUACAUUCUCUUACAUCUGCACUCCAUCAAGUCAACGUGUUUCAUCUAGAUGAGGUGAUCUCACCUCCUCCUCCUCAUGCUAAAACGUCUGUCUACACCUCGUCUUGGAAUAAGGGUUCCGUCUUAAAAUCUUUCGGCAUUGAGAUCUAGAUAACGCAGAACUCCAACAUCAUUGCAUCAACCUUUGUUAGAAAGAGGUCUUUCGUACAGUAAUUAAUUAGUUAUAUUAAUAGUAGUGUUUGUAAAUAUUAAUGUUGUCCUUUGAUUAUAUACAUAUGCAUUGUAUUCUGGAAUGUACAGUGCUGCAGUCGGGGUACUGGGGAAGAGCUUCCAUGGAUCCGGAGCCAGGGAGAUGCCGGAGGACAGAUGGCAAGAAAUGGAGGUGCUCUAGAGAUGUGGUGGCUGGGCAGAAGUACUGCGAGCGCCACAUGCACCGUGGCCGAAACCGUUCAAGAAAGCCUGUGGAAAUCCCCACUACUCGUACCGCUACCCCUGGUAAUGGCGGUGCUAAUGUGUGCGGCGGAAUCCUGAAAAACAGCAGCUUCCUUGUUGCUCAACCCUUAGGAUCUGCAAUGGCUGCUGGUGGUAGUGUCGCCGGCGAUACUCCUCAUUCUGCAAUUUCUGGGUCAUCACCGUCCAUUGAUAUUCUGCACCUCAGUCAAAGGUAUUCCCUUAACACCCAGCAGCAAUGAAAAAUUACUUCAAAGAAGCUUCGGGCCUGAUUUGGAGCCAACAUUUACUACGACAAGACUGUUGACGACUCAAGUUUUUGUUCCUUGCUUCAAUCUUCCCUCUGGAGAUCACCGUUUCAUAAGUGUGUUUUAGCUAGUCUUGAGAAUACUAUUCCAGAAUAUAAUAAUUAAAUCACGAUUGACUCUUUGAUCAUCUUAAAACGAGAUCUAAAUUCUCUCUCAUCCGCUCGAUCACACCUUUGUUUCCUCCUCCCUUCGUAUUCUUCUCCUUCUCCUUCUCCUUCUCUUAAAGAAAACAGGCAAGCGAAACAGAGAUAAACGAAAGCGGGUUCAUAAAAAGUAAAAACAUCAGCAGCUCCUAUCAACAUGGUGUUCUGUUUGGUCACGUAUAGCCAAUAACAUAAUGGAUUCAUUUAUUAUCAAAUAAGAGUUGGGAUAAUUUCCAUGAGCUAAUAAUUGGAAUACAUGUCCCCCCCCCCCCCCCCCCCCCCGAAAGGAAGAAAGUAAAGUAAAAUAUGCAUGCUGGGGCGGCAGAAUGGAUGAGCUUUAGCCUUUAGGUCUGGAAAUUAAAGCUGCUUUUCAGUUUUUACCCUGUCCAACUGAGAGGCGAGGAGGGUCAUCUAACUCUUUUUUAAGUCAAUUUACUUUGGAUUGUUCUUGGCCCAAUUAAUAUCUUUAUGGCAGGACACCCUCCCUCUUUUUUUUUUUUUUUUAUGGUAGGAGUAGUAUUUUUCUUUUUUAAAGUCUAUUUCGUUUUUUCUUUCCCUCUUUGACUCCAAAUCUACACUACUGUUUUUAGUAGAUCCUCAGAAUCAAUAGUUCGAUCCCAGGAUGAUGUGCACGGAGAUGAUACUAGAUCAAGUGGGCAGAUACUUCGGCAUUUUUUUGAUGACUGGCCUCGAUCACUCCAGGAAUCUGACGAUGGAGGAAGCAAUGGGACUUCAGCCACCACUAACCUUUCAAUCUCAGUUUCAGGCAACCCCACCACAUCCGACUUCUCUUUGAAGCUCUCCACCGGUGAUGGAGAUGACACUACUGAUGCUGAAAACGUAGAGUGGGAGAGAAGCCAAUCAAACUGGGGUGUUACCGGUGCCUGGGGAGCAAACCAAGUGGCUCCAAUGGGCGGACCACUUGCAGAGGCCUUACGAUCAUCAACGUCCAAUUCCUCGCCAACCAGCGUUCUACAUCAAUUGCAACGGCGCUCUGCUUCGGAGACCAGCUACGUCAGCACUUGAUACGAAUUUAAUUUGCAUACAAAUAUCCUCCCAUUAUUAUUAUUAUUAUUAUUAUUGUGCUGUUUUCAUUUAAGUAAUUUUUUAUGUCUUACCAUGCUGAACACUCUGAUCUGCUGUACAACAUAGAUCGUUGCUUUCUCUUUUUUUAUUUUAUUCGGGCAGAUUAAUAUUUUGCCACGUUCUCCGCCGUCGAGCUUGGUUUCCUGAGGCUGCAUCACACGAGGCCCGUUUGGCAUUCCAUGUUUUUUCUGAUAAUUGUCUUUAUUCUGUUAAAACAUGUCAAGCUGGUUAAUAAAAGCAUAAACGGGCCAUAUGAAGUUUUGCUUAGAUACCAGAAUCUUAAAAGAGGGAAGAUAGAAACCACGAAAUACAUGACUCGGUUAUUAGGAAGGGUGGAGUCAAAACGGCAGAAACCUAACAAAGGAAAGCAAAUAUCCCAAAAUGAAAACAAAAACAGAAACAUCAUCCAAAAAUAAAACAUCCUGACGCAUGGGCCUAAGGAAACAUCAAUACAAGACUGAUGCUUGUACCACGGUCCCACCAAAAGACCCUCAAAACCAACAAGUCCAGUUUGCUAUACUAUGUACGAAGGUCAAACUAACAAAUCGCUGCUCUCACACUCACUACCUGGCUAUGCUAUAAAAAGAUGAUUUACAUGAUAUCUCCUGAGCUUUGCCAGUAUGCCUACAAUAGACUUAUUAGGCUCUAAAGCUCAGCAUUAUUAUCAGUUCCAUGCCUUGAAUAACUCACGUCUCCUUCGUCAUAUCCCCUUUCAAAGAGCAGAGCAAGAGAAAUUGCCAGUCUGGCAAUGGCGCUCCAAAACGACCAUCUUUCACAUAUAUCCGACUUCAAAUUCGUUAUUUGCCAAAACAACCACCAAGGCAUUUUUCAACCAGGGCGCCGGACAUUUAUCCAUCAAUAGGCUCCUGUUCAUCCUUUAUUGGAGCAUAGACAACUGCUGUGCGAGCAGGUGCAUAAACCAAAAAUGAUCUAGGACGAUUGUCAUACCAUCCUUCCUGCAAAAGGCAAUGAAAAAUAAUACAUUCCUAGCUUUAUUUUCUUUCUUUGGAAAAUACAUCACACACAUAUUAAAGAGUAUCGAAUAAGCUUACAGAUGUGAAGAACUCUGCAUUGUGAUCAAUUCUGCUGAAACCUUCAAAUAGUGGAUCAUCCGAGUCCAAGACUACCUGGAAACAAUAUUGACUUCGUUACUGGACAGUGGAACAAGUGGGACACCAUUGCUAUUUAUGAUCGAUCAUUCUCUGAACCCAUAACACUUCAAAAUUUGGUCAUUCCAGUUAUUCAAAACAGCUACGUUAGCAAUUUACAAACCAUCCAAGGAGUUUGCUUCAAAGUAAGACUACGAGGCAUUCUUAUUUUAUCAACUUGACAUAUGCUGUGUAUCUCUCAUGUUUGAGUUACAUAGAUUCUAUAUAGCAAAGCUGCUUCAAGUUAGUUCACGAUUUUCCUUAUAUUCUUACCAUAAGCAUAACCAUGAUCAUUUCUUCAAACUGGGACCUGAAUAGAUAUUUUUUACAUUUAAAAAAAAAAAAAAAAUUCAACUUUUCACCAGCCUUGCAGAACCAGCAUUAUUUUCUCUUCCGGAUGCCAGUUCUCUAUCCUUGAGUUGUUUUCUAUCAACAAAUAGCGUAUUACUUCUUCCAGUCACAACCAGGGACAGACACCAGGAACCAUGUCAUUAGUCCAACCAAAGAUCAUGUAGGGCACAUCUCAAAUUUGUUGUUCAACUGGGAGAUUUUAUCAUCUUACUCGAGUAUCCUUCUUAAUCUGAAAUACUAAUUAAGUAGUCCAUUUUCACUAGAGGUAAAGCAGCAUUCUUGAAAAGGUAGAUCAUAGACCAAUGGUUAAGAAGCGAAAAAGCGAGACACUGAGCUGUGUUAGCAUUAGUUGACCUAACCUUGUAUUUCCCAGGCUUGAGGCAUCCAAUCCGGUAGUCUGAAUAACUGUUAUUCCAAUGAAAGUUAAAGACAAAAACUAAAUCUCCUCUUUCAAACACAAUUACUCUAUCUCCUUCAUUCUUCCGUGAUAUAUACUGGUGCUCCGAAGUCAUGAACUGCAUGUACAAAAAAGAGAUGCCAUUAACAUGUAGAAAUCCAAAUCUAGAUGCUGAAGAAGGAUAAAAUGCGAUGUCUGGGGUACAAUCAUGGACUUAUGCCUUGAAAAUAAUACUGGAAUGAGAGGUCAGUGAACUAAUACAACUAACAGCUAGUGGUGAGUUUUGAAAUGAUUGGAGUGACGUUGAAAUUCAUAUUGACACUGAUACCCUUGCUUUCAGAGCUGUUUACAUAUAACUACAUAUAUGUAUUAGCAGUUAAAAAGAGAGAGACAGGUAUAUAGGGCAAAAAGCACAACAUACACCAUAGAUUUCUUCAAGAUGCUGCAUUCCCUGGUCAAACUCUUGCAUUCCACGGUAUCUCAAAUAACCCGCAUCACCCUGAUUAUUCAAACAUGAUUUAUUUUUAGGCACAUCUGUUAAGAUAUUCUGAAAGGCAUACAUCGAAACUUGGAUUAAAAAAUGGAGUACAAUGUACUAUUACAUAUGCAAGUUUCAUUGGUACAAUUCUUGGCAAUGUAUGUAGCAAAUCAACAGUAAAUUAAAAUAACAAGAAAACUUAAAGAGAGCUUGGGUAAUGCACUAAGGGUAAAGAUUAAGUAGAUCAGUUCACAUCCUAAAGGAAAGAGAAGAGUGUUGAGUGAUCUUGGCUCUCUGAACCCGUCAUUAAGCCUAUUCAGGAAGACCUUGGGGAAUAUUACAUGAUUUACAAGCAUUUAAAGCCAGAUGUAACUAAUUUGACAAAAAAGCAUCAACGUAAGAAGUUAUGCUCCAGAUGUGCUCUAAAAGACUUAUUGUGAAUUUUGUACGGUCAAACUAACUUGGUGCCUUUCGAUUCAAAGCUAGAAUUUCAUGGUCACUUUAAGUGGUUUUUCCCCAAUAAAACUCAAUAAAAUAUCUCCGGCCCAAGACAGCACGUUAACAAGCAGCAGCUACUUGCAUAUGAAACUUUAGGGCACUUUUGUUGAACUGAUAACAGUGUUUUGCCAAAUCUAAAAGUAGUACCAUGAGCAGCCCUAUUCUACCCACACUGCCAAAAGAACCACCACUAAACAGGUUUAAGUCCAAGUUCAUUCUAUCACUUGCGAGGAGCAGAAAGAUGCACGCCCACCUACUUCUACCUUCUCAGAGUUGGUUUUUGAACAGCAGUUUCAAUUCGGUUGGCAGGCCAGGUGACAAAUUUAUGUUAGAGGUUACUUAUUGUUCUAAUUUAACAAUAAAAAACUCAGUUAAACAUUUCAAGGACUACCUACUGCCAUCAUGCUUUGUCAGCAGAAAGCUCACAUGGAUAACUUCAGUAAGGUCAUUCUUUCCAAUCUUUAGAGAAAUCUUGAUAAAGAGACUUUCGUAACUUCACCUACUUAUUAAGAUUGAGGCAGUUAAUGUCUCUUUCUCAACAAAUCAACUUUUGGCAAAUAGCAAGUUACCCAAAGGCAUCCCCACACAGAAAUCUAAAAUUGACUAAAUUGACCUUGUCUCACUUCCAAUUUAGCUGUUGUAAAAGAAUCUAAUACUUCCCACAUAAGUUAAACAGAGAUGUAAUCUAAGCCUCUCAGAACUCAGCAAAGAUAGACACAAGAAAAUAGACCCACAUGCAAGGCAAACAAUAGGUACUGACUGUAGGCAAAGCUAGGGAAGAACCAUACCAGAUCAAAUCUACGCCGGCAUUUGUCAAAGCUGUUAUUAUUUCCAGGGACUACUUUGCCAUCAGGAAGACGGUUAUCAAACCUCGGAAAAUCUAUCCACUCUGAUAAAGAAAUGCAAAAAUCAUAAUUUGCUAUAAACCAUGAAACAAUACAAAAUUCACAUUAUUUUCUGGACAAAAUAGCAUAAGUUGGAAAAACCAGAUUCAUUAUUACCAGGGUGCCCAAAUUCAUUUCCCAUAAAAUUUAGAUAGCCUUCUCCACCUAACCCCAUAGUGAUUAGCCUGAUCAUUUUGUGCAAUGCUAUUCCACGAUCAAUUAGAGGAGUUGAUGGUCUAUCCAAUGCCAUAAAAUCAUACAUAUCCUGCAAACAUGAAACGGAAGGAUAUAUGAACAAUUUACGCGCAGAUAGCCAUAGAAUUACAUUGUCGGGGAAAUAUAUACGCAUCUGGUUCAAAGUCCUGGAAUAACAGAUUAUAAAAAUUUCUUUGGCCAUGUUGACCACAAGAAAGUCAACCACGUUGAGCACUUAACUAGGCCCUUCCCAUCAACCCAACCCUUCUGGAAAUCUGAUAAAGCAAAAGUCAAACUGAAGCAUGCGACCAGAAGAGCAAAAGAAAGGGAAAUUCAUUUAGUAAUUAUUCGAAUACUUUAACCUAAAUUUGUUCCUUCCAUAGAUUUAUUCAGCUGAUGCAAAUUCACUAUGCUUUCAGAUAGAAGAAACGCCUAAUAAACUUCAUGUCUAAAAUGACAGAAGUCAACUUACUAACAAGGCUAGCAACCAUAUUAACUGAAAAAAAUAACACUACUAAUAAAACAAAUGGGUCAAUCUUAGUUUUUGGUAGAAGAAAAAAAUUGACUUGGAUCGGCAGAACUAUCAUGCAGUAUGAUACAAGGACAAUGAGAGCAGGGCAAACCAUGCCCACCACUUGUUCUCAACAUAACAUCCAUUUUUUUGUAAAUUCCAUAUCCUUUUGGGCAUCUUUUCAAGGAAGCAAACUUCUUCAGGAAAUUGAGCAACAAAUCUCAAUGAUUCUUGGUCCCUUAAUCUGAUAUAGACUGCACUUUAUUUUUCCCUUAUCUCUUCAUUUUGUUCUUCUUACCUUCAUUUUUCCUCCCUUUUUUUUUUUGAGGGAAGAAGGGGGGGGGGGGGAGAUGAAGCGAAAGAAAGCCAUUACAAGAUAUAUCAAAAUAUAUGUACUCAACCUUGUCCAUUAACCAGAAUGCAAUAGUUUUAUCGCCUACUAAAGCCUGGUCAUGACUCUCAGCAUAAGCCACACACUUCUCCAACCAUCUUCUAUUUGUUAGCAUAUGAACAACAUCUCCCAUUCUCCAGUCCUCAUCUCUCUUCCUGUGCCACGUGAAGCAAAGCCAGAAGCUUUAAAUAAGCUUGAGAUGACAUAUAAUUAAAGUCAAAACGAGCAUGCUACUUAGCAACAAUCACAUUAUCUAACUACAUAUAGCAAGUAGUACAAAUGCUUCACAUUCUUGAUCAGGAUAAAGAUUAUCUAACAUAGAUCACAGAAAAGUAGCAUGAAUAUGUGCAAACAGUGCAAUUUUAAAGCUGAAUAAAUUGAUGAAAAUUAUCACAGGAACCUAACAUCAUGAGUUAUUCGUAUCACUUAAGAAGGCUGACAGUAUUAAGCUUAAAGCAGGACAGUGUGCAAGUAGUAGUGGACUCCCAAAGUGUUUUCAAGCUCAAGGAUGAGGAUGGCCAUCAAGGUUUUGUAGAAACAAACUAUUCCACUGCAAAGCACUACAAAGAACAAGCUGAAGGUGGUCACCAAAUACUGUAUAAGGUCCUUGAAAACCAGAAGCAUUUUGAUCAGCUCAACAAGAUAUCUCCCUCAAAAGAAGAACUUACAUAUGCCAGAAAAACAAAAAAGCCUUGAACAGAACUGCAGUAUUACAUUCAAAUAGCAAGCAUUUGAAAGCAUAAACUGGAGUAUUGUUAAGAUUAACCUUAUAUUCAAAUGACAAAUGUGCCAUUGGCAGUUUUCCCAAAAAUUUAGAGGAUGCUCAUGUAAAUCCUACAGUUAAAUCUUUAUAUGACCUCAAGGUAGAAAUGAUUCAUUAUGUCGAAUAACCUUUUGAUUCUUUUAAGCUAAGCACUAACAGCAAAAAAUGCAGCCUAUUUCAAUAUCUAUAAAGCAUUACUAGUAUUUGAACUUCUAGGGGUAACAUACUUGAGCAACUCAAUCCACUUAUCAGCAAUAGCCAUGUGAAGGCGAUAGUCAAAUCCAACCCCACCAUCCUGAAUGGGAAUGCAGAAUGUUGGCAUGCCACUGACCUGAGAUAAGAAAACAGAUCAGCAAUGCAGUAUCCAGACUUGUAAGGACUAGAACGGUAGCUAUGUAAUGUAAUAGGAAUGUUUAGUACAAGCUAGCUUAAUAAUCAACAUCAAAAUCAGCUAAAAAGAGAACCAAACAACAAGAUGGUUUACUGUCAACAGAUUUUUGUACAACAAAAUAAACAUUCCUGGUAUGUUGGAGUCAAGCAAUACUGCUGGAUUUUAUUAUUGAACUCAACUGACAAAAGAUCUGAUGCAUACAAAUCAUUAAAGUAUCAAAUUCAGGAGGAUUGUGAACCUUGAUGUGCAAGAAGUAAGAGAAUCUAGAGGCAUCUGGCUGAAUAUUGCCAGAGAAUGAUGCUUCAUAUGAAUUCAAGUGCUAAGGAACCUUCCACACACUGUUUCAUUAGAGUUACGAGAAAUUAUGAUGACAUAAGUUCAUAAGUUUCUCAUAAGCAUACUUAUUCUGUUCUAGAGAAUAUGGUACCCCAGAAAUCAAAGAGGAUAGAUAACGAGCUUUCUUUGUUAUUAUUUUUUAUUCUCCUGAGGUAGCAAGAAAUGGAAAUGGACUUGCCCAAGUAGUAGGUGUGACAGAUGAGUGCAGUUGAAAAAAUAGAAUCAUGAAGAUUCUCAUGACUGCAAACAAUUUCAGCAAGUUAGGGGCCCCGGGACAUUAAAUCUGCUCUUCACCUGUAAAGGCAUCAUGACUGAUCCACUUAUCACUUUCCUUUCUCCUAGGACUAAAGUUUACAAAGUAUCGUUGUUAGAUUUAAAAAUAAAAAUAAAAAAAUCCACAUUACAAGAAAAGGUCCAAGCAUCAAUCUACAUUGAUGCGCUGGAAAAGUCAAAACUUAGAAGCUAUUCCAUGAAUUCCAGACAGAGGAUGGUUAUGGUGGACCGUGACAGACAUGCUGCACAAGAAAUCUGAAAGAAUUCUUGUGAACCAGGUAUAACAUCAAGACACCUUGACAGUAAUAUUGGUUGCAUAUUGAAGAAGCCAACCUUUAUUACUUCUAUAAUUAAGAUAAUUCUUAUAGUGCCCACCACUAUAUGAACAGUGAACCUCAUCUCACAGAUGAGAAAAUUGUUUACUAUUUGCUCUUUCCCUUUUUGGUCUGUUUCUCCCCUUUUCUACUCUAUUUGAAACUACACCUUACCUUUUCUUUCUCCACAUUUCGCAGAUGUUAUUGUUGUUGACUUCAACCUCUAACAUAGUAUUCUUCCCCCCUCCCCCCCCCCCGGGGGUUAAAGACCUGCUUAUUUCUUAUUGUACAAAGACCCAAGCAUCCACAUAUAUAAGAUUCUUAAAUCCAGUAAAAGCAGAACAAUUAACUGAUGGAAACUAAUAUCACAUCUAAAACAAUCGCCAAAUUUACAAGCAUAAUAAACAUAUAUACAUACAUCUUCACCAAUGGUAAUAGCUUCAGGAAAGAGCCCAUGAAUGAGAUCAUUUGCAAGCAUCAAAUAGACCACUGCAUCAACAUCAGUUGCAUAUCCAAAAUACUCAUUGUAGUUCCCAGUAAAUCCAACCUAAUAAAGUGAAACAAUGUCAGAUAAAGUAGUGAUAUACUGGUAAAGAAAUUUAUCUGCAUGGGUUUCUGCCACAAAAGAUCAUGGAACUGUGAUCAUGGAAAACCCCAAAUGAAGAAUAGGUCUGCAUAUACAAGGUAUGAAAAACACAAAAUGAUGGGACAAUAUGUUGUGCACAUGUCCAGCAGACAAGACCAAACCCUGCUUAUUUUGAUUUGGCAACCUAAAACAAUUACAGUAACAUUGGCUCAUCAAAUGAUUGAUGUGAAGUUAUCCUACUCAAAUAAUUGCAUAAAUACAUGAAAGAAAUCAAAGGCAGUUAACACAUCCACCUUUCCAAUGAAAUAAAGCAGGAGAAAGAGGAGAAUAAGUGGCUAAGGAUAUGACUGUAGGACAAAGAGCACAGUCACCGGAUUCUAGAUAUCUUUCUACAAAUACAACCAUAUUUCAGGGGCAUCAAGGAGUAGUCCUAAACACUUUUGAAGGGGCAGCAUUUAAUAAAAAUCAUGAUGUUAUAGAUAAUGAUAUCGUAGCCAAAGCAUCGUAUAUACACAUGCCUGCAAGCCAUGAUGAGUGUACAUCAUCGAAGUCACACCAUCAAAUCUGAAGCCGUCGAACUUGUAUUGGUCCAACCACCAUCUUGCAUUUGAGAGAAGAUACCUUAUCACCUAUAACAGAAGAUGAUUUGAUGCAAACCUCAAAACUAGCUUUUCUUAGGGGGCAAAAAGGACACAUAUUUCACGCAAAUGAAUCCAAAAUGGCAAGAUGGCACAUACUUCCCAGUGUCCAUAGUUAAAGAGACGAGAAUCCCACAUCCAGUGAUAACCCCUCGAGCCAGAGUGGAAAUAACAACUAUCAGUGCCAUCAAACAUGUUUAGCCCAUCCAAAGUAUUAUUUGACGCAUGGCUAAACAAAAAAGCAACUUCUAGUUAGAUUCCUUCAGGUAAAAAUAUAAAUACUAGCAUUUAAGUUGCAAAAAUAACAGUUGGAUAAAGGAAGAAAGCCUGUUAGAUGUCAAACACCAGAGACAAAUGUAUUGCGAGUUUACUUGAAUUCAAACAAACAACCUAAAACUGCCCAGCCCUGAAAAAACCAUUUCCGUUUUCCUAAGAAAAGAGUUUCGCUGACAACUUCAAAUUGUACCUUACAUGUAGAGGCAAAAGGGACAUGGUGUACCAAACCAUCCAAUGGACAAAAAAGAGAAACCAUAAGACGUCAACAAUAACGCAAUGAAACAAAGAUCAUAAACACUACCUGUUCAAAACCAGUUGAGAGCAUCCUUAACCAUAAUCCAAGAUAAUUAGCCUCUUAGAAGACCAAAUGGCUCUUGCCAGAUUGGAAAAGAACAAUAAAAUUACUUGCUUCUCUAAAAUACACAUUUUGGUGCACAAUGACCUCGUAAUUUCUACACUGAUCGAGGGAAGGUUUAUGAGAAACGAGACUGAAGUAAAGAAAAGUGAAACUAAUUUCUUCUGUAAAUAAUUCUGCAACUUGUACUUACUAAGAUAUUCUGUUAGAAGUAACUUUUUCUGUCAAAAUUUGAAAGACACAAAUGUAUGACUUCCUCACGAAACAAAAACCCAAUAAAAAAUUUACUAACAUUCCCACAAUUCCCUUUGCAAUCAAACACUACAUAAGCAAAGCAAAACCUUCUACAAUUCAAAGGUGCAAGGUAACCUAUAUUUCAAUAAGUAUAAGCUUAGCCAUCCAAGUGAAACAAGUGGAAUUGUUUUUUGAUCAAUUAGACAACAUCCAAAAUUUGAGAUAUCAUGUUCCAGUACAGCAUAAUAUGAUAGUAAAUGACUUGGAGAGAAAGCUUCUGCUUUUCAAAAUUCAAAUGCAUUGUGCCUUUUUUUUGUUGAAGGGUAUAAUGGAAGUGCAAAAGUAAGGUUAUAAAGGGUGGUUUAACAGUUCAAUAAUACAAGUUCUUAUUUAUGUUUAUUCUUCAUAUCUGAGUCAAUACUGGUAGCUACAUUAUCAAAAGCGAAAAGAUAUUAACACAACACAACAAAGCACAAAGUGGAUACUUAAUCAACCAAAAUGGUAUUUCUGUGAGCAAAACACAAAUUCCAAAUGAACAAUGUUCUCUCUUCUUUCCUUUUCUUUUUUUGUUUGUUUGUUUGGGGGGGGGGGGGGGGGGGAGGAGGAGGAGGAGAAGAAAGAUCAGAGAAAGAAAUAUUAUUAUUCUCUAGGAGAAAAUCUUAUUAUAAAUCAAAUGAAGAUGCAAAAGGGUCAAUUCAAGUCUGACGAAGUCUGCUCGGGAAAUCAAUGUGCAAGUCUUACCUGUGCACAAUAUCCAUCAGAACAAUCAAACCAAGCUCAUGUGCUUUAUCGAUCAAAGAUUUAAGAUCAUCUGGAGUCCCACAACGGCUGCUAGGUGCAAAGAAAUUUGUGACAUGAUAACUGCAGCAUAUGAAUAAAAGAAAGACAAUAUCCCCUUAGAGUGAAAAUCAAACUAUCAAACAUCCAAGAGCACUGCUGCAAAUCACCAUAAAAGACAAAGUAAAAUUGCACCACAGCUGCAGGAUAUUUUUGCACAAAUAUGUACUGAACAAACCAAAUAGAACAAAAGAAUUACCCAAAGCUAGCAUAAUAUGAAUGCUCUUGGAUAGCCAUGAUCUGAACAGCAUUAUAACCAAGCCUCUUGAUACGGGGAAGCACAUCAUCCCUGAAGUUUGCGUAGGUAUUUAUGAUAGGUUCCUGCAUUCACGAAGUCGAUAACAUUGUUAGGACGAGAAGGAAAAUACAACUAAUUGAGAACUAUUCUGACAUCUAAAUAGGAGCAACAUUAGUCAUCUCCUCCCCAAGUGAUGCCAGAAGAAAACAGAACAAUUAUACACCAAAUUCUUAUAUGAUCGAAAAGUUGCAAAUGCCACCUAAUAGUCCACGGUGAGAACACUAGUUCAGAGUGAACAUCAGUUGCAAUCUACCCUUAACCUCAUACAUUUAGGAUCCCAUUAACAUACUACUAAAAAAAGAGCUGAAGCCAAACAGAGUAAUUCUUCUUGGAGUCAAGAUUUCAAUGUUCUGUGUUCAUAAAUGAUUUGCAAAAUUUGUAUCAAUACUUGGUGGCCCAUAGAAUCCACACUCCCACUAAGGCUUCUCCAAAAAUAGAAAGAGUCAUAUACAAUACAACACAAUAAAAUGCAUUUUGUUCACAAAAAUUAUUCACUUUCCACUGUCAAUUAACACAUCUGAAUCAUGGAUACAAUUCAGCGGAGCCAAAUAUCUUUAUCACUUUAUUUAUAGCCAUAUAGUUGCCUAUCAGCUGCCACAGUUCCCCUUAGGUUUUCAAUUAUAGGAGAAAACGGACCACUACCAUCAUUUUAUGGAAAGCUUGUACAUACAGGUUCAUAGCUCAAUAAACAUCUUGACUCACAAGAUAAUAGCAAUCAGAGAAAAUAAGAAAAAUUUAAUCAUUACAUAAGAGAGGAGGGAUCUCACACUGUACUACUCAUUCCAACAUGAGCCUCAUAUAUCCUGAGUGAUUUUGGUCUUUUAGGCCGAGGAUGCUUGAAUACAUACUUUUCCUGUUGAAAUACAUUAUCAAAAGUUAUGAGCAUGAGAGGUCAAUAAGUAGAAUUGAUUUAAGUUAAAAAAAAUAUAAAAAAGUCAUUCUGGUUAAAAGCAAAAACGUCCAGUUUAUAAGAUAAGUAUGAUGUAUUUCUUAAAAAUUAAAUAAGCUGCAAGUUUAUGGUAUUAUAAACAAAGGAAAGGCAAAAGGCAUUUGAAAGCACAAGUAAAUCAUCCUAAAAAGUUAUAAGGCAUUAUAACAAUAUGCCUAGCUGGACAAUAUCUAAAUGUAAACCAUUUUUCAUUUCGAUAACCAUGAAACCUCCUAAACCACAAGUUUACCACUUAGGCAGUAAAAAAAUAAUAAGGCAAAAAAGUACCUCUUCUGGAGGAUCGUAGUAUAUCCCAUCAUAUGGAAUUUCACCAGGAGCCUGAACAGCAAACUUAAUCCAUGCUGGAAUCGAGUCUUUAAGGCCAGAUGGAGUAUCCAUACGUACCUAAAUUUGGAAAAUGCAAAAUAAUAUUAUCUGGACAGUAGCCCAAUUGCAUUUCUACGAAUUGACAAUAUAAGUGCUCAACUACUCCAUACAAGGGAAACAGACAACGGGACGCUAUUUUGCUUUAGUUUUAGGAAGGGGGAUAGAAGGGGAGAUGCAAUUAGUGCAUAUAUAUAAUAAUUCCACAGUGAUAAUCAGGCAACAAGUUCACAAGCCAAAACUGUCAACCUGCUAGUAGCAGUUAAGUUACACUAGUUAAUAUGGCAUGCAAUACUGUCAGUGUCAUGUAACAUGUAUGACAUAGAAAUUCCCCGAGAAACCUAACCUUGAGCAAUUGCUAAGACUAAUUUCAUCAUCUGUCAAACUGUUAGAAGCCGUUAAGUUACAGUAGCAAACAUGGCAAGGAAUAUGGUCACAGCCAUGUUAGAAGGGAUGACUCAGAAAUCCUCCAAAAAACCUAUCGUUCAGAAAUUGCUAAGACCACUCUCAUCAGGGCAUCCCAAUUUGAAACUUAUAAAGCCUUCCGUUCCUUACAUGAAUAUUUCAGCAACAAAUCAGCUAAGACAAUUACCAUUAGCAUAUAGAACAGAUAUUGCAUACUUAGAACAAUCAAAGCAAGUAAUGAGCUCUAUGGAGUAAACUAAAUCAAUGAAGCAAAAAGAGAACAAAUCUUGGACAGCAUUAGUAAGCUUCAAGAGUGAAUGAAAAACAAAGCAUUUAACACAACAUAGCAUUUCCAUAGCCAUUACUUUCACUAGCUCAAGGAUGACAUAAUAAAGUUUCACAUGGAUAACAACAGUGGAAUAAUUAAUGCAGUUGGAGGAGGAGCCUAAAUUGGUUUGCAGUUACUCCCUUUGUCUCAAAAAGUUUGUCACUUUUCAGAACAUGUGCUUUUUAAGAAUAGUGUAUUUGAAUGGAUGAAUUGUGCUUUGUUCACAAAUUCUAUGCUUGUUUGAUACUGGCACUUUUAGAACCUUUUCAGUUAAAAUCAGGUGAUGAAAAGCAAACUUGGGCCUGCAGUAGUUUGUUAUGUUUCCCAAAUGCCUAGUGCAUGCUUUUCACACCCCAACCAAAUAAACAUGUGUCAACCAUGCAUGCUUUUGCAACAGGUAAACAUUUGAAUGAUAACUGCAAACUCCAAGGCCCACAAUGAUGAUGUAAGGUGACAACUGAAUGCAAGGGCAGAGAGAGAAAUGGUGGGAAAACUUGUUUGCCAAAUUUAGUAUGUGACAUUCAUUCUGGGACAAGCCAAAAAGGAAAGCAUGACAUUAUCAAUGGGAUGGAGGGAACACAAUUUAUGGUAUUGUACAUGUAACACCAUGCAUCUACUGCAUACCUAUUUUCAGGGAUUAGCAUUCUAAUUGGAUCAGCACUGACUAGGGCAAAAGACAUGUCAAUAUAUCUCAAUAACAGGCUUGUUUGUUGUAAACAAAAAUGUAUUCAUGGUUUUACAUGUCAAAAUGUUCUCAAUAACAGGCUCAUGCAAGACUUUCUCUUCUACGAUUGGUUAGAUUAUCAAGCUUAGAAGCUAUCACAAGCUUCAGUUUGGUACGUGUUCAACAGGUAUAACUUCCUUUAACAUGGUGGACUGCUCCAAUUACAGUUGUGACCAAAAAAAUUCUGUGAUAUAUUCCACAAUCCACUUCUGCAAGUUGAAGCAGUUGGCAAAGGGAAAUAGGCAAGUGAAUAUAAAAUUUAAAAAUAAAAUAAAAACCUCAAUGACAAAAACCCAGGUGUCCUGCCUCUAAUGUAUCCAGGAAUCACCUUUACACGAGAGCCAUGGGGAAUUGGGGGCGACCCAUCAGCAUUGUUUGGCAAAAAGAUCUCCCAAACGCCAAAUUCAUUCUGUAUAAAAAUAAUCAAUAAGUGCCAUGUUCCAUUAGAAGAUUCAACAAAACUAAAUUAUAACAAAUGAAGGAGAAAAUCUUGCAUGUUAUUGGGAUAAGUAUCUUGCAUGCUAUUGGAAUAGGUAUGCCAAUUUUACAUUGCAUAUCAUAGUAUGCUAAGGAAAUAUGCAAGUCAGAAUUUUUCUGCUCGAACGCAAGCAUUUUAACAGAGAGGGAAACCUCCUUCACAUGGAAAGACAUAUCCAUCCUUCACUGAGAGUUAAAAUAACAAGGGAUAAUUUCAGAAACCUCCCGAGAAUGUUAACAAUUGCAGUCCCUCCCUUGGGAUUUGAAAAAUUACUGAAACCUCCCCUAGAAAGUAUGUUUGGUAACAAAUGGUGAUGCAAGCACAAAACAUCCAAUGAAUAUCCUAUUUCACCCCUAUUUGAUUUACAAAACAAAUUGAAUGAUAAAAGAAAUCAAAUAUCAGCAUUACUUGUUAAGUAAAAAAAUUUAAGGUAGUUCUUUAUAGCAAAAUUUAGGCCAUGCUUUAAGGCAUUAUUUUUUAAUGUUUGGAUUUCUUUUUUUUUUUUUUUGGGUGCUAAGUAAGUAGUGAAGAAACUGUUUUUAACAAAUGCAUCCCUACUAGUCAACUAUUUAUAAAACUAAGAAAGAAGUCCAAUUAAAUGACCUAGGAAUUGAAUAUAAUGUAUUAAGUGAAAUGAGGUGAGAGUUUUUGAAUAAAGAAAUAUUUGCAAAAUGUGGUUUUCUUUUUUCUUUACACCCACUUAUACUUAGGAUUUGUAGAGUUGUCAAGGCUAUUAUAGUCUUUUCAUAACACUAAGGGAGGUAAGUGUAAUUUUUUAAACCUCAAGGGAGGUGGCUGCAAUUGUUAGAAACCUCAGGGGAGGUUUAUGAAAUUAUCCCAAAUAAUAAUUUGAUUUUCAAAAUACCCCUCAAAUUUGAUAAAGGGUUUUCAUUGCUCCAUCAGUACCUCAGUUUUAAGUGAACAAAAAUAGAUGACUGUUUAGUCACUUUUCCCUACCGGUAUGAGGGGGAAUCAAAACCUACUACUGAUGGAUUGUGCUAAACAUCGCUAUACAAAGCUCACUGAGAUCUGUUCACUAGCAUGGGUCGCCAAUAUACACCAUUGAUAUUCACAAGCAUACCCCAUCCGAAGAUCUUAAGACUCAUAUAUUAUCAUGUCACAAUCAGGUCACCACACAGGACAUCAUUACAGGUCACCACACAGGACAUCAUUACCUUUAUCAAUACAAACAACAGUGGCAUCACACAGAUCACAAUUGUCCAAAACAGGACUACAGCAUGCUAAACAAAUAUAUGAAGAGCAAUAAGAUAUACAAAGUAAUUAGCAUACCUGAGUCAUGACAUCAGCAUUAGGAUUCCAAUUGUUGAAAUCUCCAAUUAGUGUUGCCCACUGCAAGCAUCAUAAAGUAAGGAACUGACAACUCAAAAAUGAAAUCCAACAAGUUACGCAAAAAAGGUUCGAUUUUUUCAUGACAUUUAAUGAAUUAAAAAAUACUCUAUCUAGUGCUGCUUGCCUAUGUAUUUGCCAUUGUUAACAUAACAUGGCCAUAAAUUGUCAACACUUUUCUUCCCUCAUUUAGAAAGUCAGAAACAGUUUAAUAGCUGGCAUUUGUUGGGAAUCAGCAAGAUGAUUUAAUGGACAAGUAAUCAUGAAGAAAAAGAAAACAUUUAGUCAAAUAGACCAUAUUGGACAGCACAUAAGAAGAAUAAUCAGAUACAUAGCAAGAAAACUAGCCAAGCUAGAUUAAAACUUGUAACUUUACCCUGAUUAGUCAGAACUUUCACAUAUACACUACUUCAUUAGACUUGUCGUUCAACUGCAUUAAAAGGCUAUGCCAGCACAAAGCUCCCACUAUUUCAGGUGCUAGGAAGAGAAAUGAAACCUCACACAACAUGCAGAGACCACUUUAUAUGCUUCACAAAACCCGAGGCAAAUCUAAGUAUCCACCAUGCAUCCUAAUUUUACUUGGUUAAACAAGUAAUAAUCUGGCAGAUGGAGAGGAUGAAGUUCAAUGCAUUAGGAUUCAAUAAGCAUUAUUUGUUGUAGAAGACGCAUUGAAGCCGAUAUAUCCAUAAUCAAAUGAAAUGCAUCCAUGAACCAAAAUGGAAACAUUAUUUUCUUCCCAGCACCACAUCCUAGAUAAAAAAUUCAAUGAAAGAUGAACAGGAGAGAUAUUCCAAAAAACAAAAAAGUUAGUUCCCAGCAAUUUAAACUGCAAUCCACCAACCAUAAACAUCUAUUGACAUGCUUUUAUGCAAAUAAACAGCUUUUCCUGUAAGGUUUCAAAAUAAGAUUUGAAAAGGCAGAGCAGCACAUAUUGACAGAGAUAAAGAAUCUAAGGUAAACUGUAGGGACUUUGGCUAUUGCAAAGAGAGUACAAAGGACACAAACCUUGGCUCCAGGAGCCCACUCCCUGUAAGUGAUUCCUGUGGCACUGGAAACACAAUAAAAUAAGAACCUCAACCUUUUCACUGUAACCAUGAAAAAAUGUUCUUCAAGACAUUAAAAUAGCAUAAACAACAUAAACUUCUGGAUUGGACAUAGGAAACAGCUUGAGUAGAAGGAACAUAAACUGAACACAAGAAUGCACAGAAUCAGUAGUCUAGACUCCCUUGUACACAAAUUUAAGCAAUCAUCAGGACUCUAAAUGAUGUUCCCAGACAACAUGAAGAUUUUCUACCCAUGUUUAAGAGGCAUCGUAAUUAGGUUAAGGUACAAAUUCAGUUUUCCCAAAUAGGACCAACCUACGACAGGCAAGUAACCUUCCCAUGCCACAGGGUCCAAAGGCUUUCUACUAGUUACCUAUACUUAAAGAUGCAAAACGAUGUCCAAGGGCAUCAGAGCAAGAGGCGCCAUCUCUCAAAUUGAAUUCUAUCUGAUUGCUCAACAGGAGUACACAUUCGACAGCCAAGUACGAUCAUUAAUUACUCAAUAAUAUUGUGACACAAAUAACAUGUAACAAAGGCAAAGGCGUCAAAAGCAGGCAUAUUGGUUCCACCUUAUCUCUAGGAUGGUAAACAUCAAGGUGUGCAAGAACUUUUAAAGGAUAAUCUAGGUAGCACAGUAAUACAUCAGGAGAAAUACCUGCGAGUGAAACCAAAUUUCUCGUAACCACGAGAAAAUGCUUCUAAACCACCCUCAUACUUGUCUAUUGCGUCUCUCAGUUUACGGUACUGACCAUACCUUUGAUUGGACACCACAUCAGGCCACAGUUCAGGACAAAAGAAGCAUUAACAAAACAAACUAAAAUAGGCAAAAUCUUUAGUUUAGUAGGCAAUAACUCAAGUGUGUCCAAUAAAAUUGAGAUUUAGAUAUGAAAGGAAAAAACUAAAAUCUAAGAGAAUGUAUCACAUUCCACAGUGCACAAAAGAAGCUGAAAAUUGGAAGGCAAAAAGACAAUUUGUGCCAACUAUUUAGUGGAUUUGUUCUCUCUUACUUUAACUAAGAGAAAGUAACAAAAAAUAAAAGACACAUUUACUCAAGGCAAAGAGGGGGAAAAAGAAAAUUUUCAAAUUAAAACUUGCUAAAUUAGUUACAUAACAGAAACCAACAGAAGAUUUCAGAAAAGAACUCUUUCUGUUUUAUGAUUUUCUAAUAACCGGAAAAGGGAUGAGACAUUACAGCUUCAAAGGUAGAAUAGAUAGAUUUUAAUUCCACAAACAUCAUUAGGGAUGAGAUAAGAGGACAAUCUGCACUGAUAAAGCCAAUUCCUAGUAAUAAUAUAUGGUCAAUAAAACAACAAAGUGAAUCUUAAAUGAUUGGGAAAGUAAACUUUUAAAAUGCACAACUUUAAGUAUUUCCCCACAUUUAAGCCCACCCAACCCAUCCUUGUAAGGGAAAUGUAAUAUAGUUUCGUGCCACAGUCCUACAAAAAGUAUUAGAGAUAACCAGCAAGGUAUGGAACCAUAAGACCAUCAACACAGAAAGAAUUUAACUAAUAAACAAUAGUCUUUUUUUGUUGAUUGACUUCAAGGGAAUUUGGAAACUCAUUUUUCACUGAAUCUCCAAAAAAGUUUUGCUGCAUGCAUGAUUCAGGGGGCUGAGAGACAUCUUACACGAUACAAAAGAAACAACUAACUUCCGGGAUAACAGUCUACUUCAACAAGAAUAAAAAACAUAGACUAAGUCCAGGUAUUUGGCAUAUUGAAGGAUCCACAUGCUUAAACUAGAGAAAAUGAUGAAAAACAACGACAGAGAGUGGAGGGAUAAUGGGACU